AUCUACUUGCAGUAUGAUCGCAGUUUUGGCAACUGUUGCUGCCUAGGUGCAGCAGAGUGGACAUAUACAACUUGUAUGUUUUUGAGAUGUGGGCUGUUAAACCUGUUUGCCGACUUACCGUUUUGUCUACUCAAAAUGGUCGUCUAGUUUUGUCACCUGUGAUUUCAUUGAAAUGCAUUUGACUUGAAGUUUCUUUUGAGCCCUGUGUUUACACAGAGCAGUUGCUUUACCCAACAAGGGGAUGCCAACUUUCAUGGUAGGAAUACUUUGCCAACUCCAUUCCCAGUGUCGUCGGGAGGCUGACCUUUGCAAAGCCAAGUAUGUUUCCUGUGAAGGGAAAUCCAAGCAAAGAGCUUGUGGUUUGGCUCUGCUGUAGCCUUCCAAAUCUUUGUUUGCCUUGUUACCAAAGUAAAGAGCUCUCAUUUUGUCUCAGCUAGAACCCAUGAUUUGGUUCAGCCUUGGCCUUCCAAAAUAUUUGUGAUUUCAGUCUCAUGUGUUCCUCGUCGGGAAGGAAUCACCUAGCAAAGAGAUGUUGUCUCAACUAAUGCCUUCCAAAUCUGUUAAGGUUGAACCCAAGAAAUCAACCUGUAGAUAUCAGAUCAGCUGGAAAAAUUUCUUGUUGCAAAAAGAGUAGAUACAACUUGUGACCAACUACCGAGUGUUUGAGGUUUUUUUUUUUUUGGACAGCAAGAGGGUCUGAGACUCGUUCACGAUGGGAAGUGCUUGUUUACUCUCGUGAGUAAUAAAAUUCUCAUCCCCUUCCCCCCUUUAUAUAGCUAAUUUUAAUACUUUCAAGCUUUUUACCUAAUUGGAGUUACCCACACAAAAUUGCAUCAAGAAUUGUCCACCUUCCCAACACUAAUCUAAUGUGUACUCUCUUUUUGUUUGCAAAUAAAUCUAAUGUGUACUCUACAUUUAUCUUCUUUCAUAAGAAUUGAAAACAAAUGUAAUACACGAAUUGUCCAUUAGGAGUCUCUAAUUCGCAGGUAAAAUCCAUGAUUCUUACACGAACUGAACUAUUUGUGUGUGAACAUUUAUAAAUUUAUGUGAAUCAUAGCAGGUUCAGAUCCAAAGCGAAAGUGAGCAUCGAUAGGCCCGUGAUCUAGUAGACCCUCCCAAAGAAGGAAAGAGGUCCAAAAUAUCACUUGUUUUUGUUCUCCACACCUCCUCCCGGCGAUCAUGGGUUCCAUUCCCCUCCUCCGGCAGUGCUAGGGUGGGAAAAACCCGGAUCUCUGUUUUGACGUGGGUGUAGUUAGGUUUCUGGUCGGUGGCAAUGUGGAGGCGGAGAUGAUGUCGGGGAAAAUAAGUGUGCCACCUUGCUAUCCACUCCGCGACGGCGUCUUCUGGGGCUUCAUCGCCAAUCUAGCAGCGAUGUGGAGGCGGAGAUGUUGUUAGGGAGAAUAAGUGUGCCGCUUCGCCAUCCCCUCGGCGGCAGCGUCUUCUAGGGUUUCGUCUGCUCGCGGGUCCACAUAUCUUGUGAGUCUUUCAUUCCUUCACCUGGUCGACGAUGCGACAACGACGACCAUGCUAUGUGGGGAUUUUGUCCUUUGGUGAGUCGUCAAUGCAUUGACGCUUCCUCUAGCCGAGAUGUGGAUGUGGUAAGAUGAGGUGUUGGACGGGGUCAUAUGAUGCCCUGUGGUUUGGUUGCAACAAUGUUUCUGAUGACAUUGGCUAGCAGUCGACCUUAGCUUUGCCAUUCAAUCCAGGACGGUUUUUCUGGACGAGCAGGGUGACUUCCUGACUGUGAGAGGCCGGUUUGGAAAUAGGUCGAGGAGCGGCAACGGCGGUGCGCCACCGGCACAUCUUGGACGUGGAGGUCGUGAUGCUCCCAAAGGACGGGCUUGCAGUUUCUUAUUCUGUUUGGGCUGCCUUGUAAUGCUGAGGUUCUUACUAAAAGACAUAUUUACCUUUGCAAGAAAAAAACCUGCAAUUUCAAGUUAAGAAUCUCCAUGUAGGUAGAUUAUUAUUAGGGCAAUGCUACGCGUCCCUCGGGUGAUAAACCGAUAAGAUCAGUCCCCUCGGCAACCGUCAGAUGCCGUCCGAAACAGCCGUCCGAUCUACCGUCACAGCCAAUUGGGCGCCUCGGCAACAACUAGCUUGUUGUACUCAUGGCUUUGCAACAAGGACCUUGUUGCAAAGGUCCACUGAGACAGUACCACUGCCCCGUCAUGGCCUGAGUGCCUCGGCUAUGGAGCGUCGCCGCUCGCCAGAGUCGUCGCGCCUCCUCUGAACCAGCACCCCGAGCAGCUGCCUCUACUCCAGCACGACAACGAUGAACUCUCACGCCAGGCACUCGUCUAGCGAUUUCUGCAACCAAAGCUAUGUUUCUGAAACAUGCGUCAUGUUGCAAUGCUUGCCCUCGUACGCUCUAACGCAGGGCGCUCAUUCUGGGCUCUCUACAACCGAGGCUAUGUUUAUGAAACAAUACCCUUGUUAUAGGAGAGAAAAUAUUUAUGGUCAAACCAUUUUUCUUUUUUCUGAAACAAGAUGUUUGUUGCAGAAACUUUCUGAAACUAGACCUUGUUACCGAAAGAAAAACUUCACCACCAAACACUUUUUUUCUUUCUAAAACAAGAUCUCACUUGCAGAAAGCUUCUGAAACAAGACGCUUGUUGCAAAAAAAAAAACCUAGCCGCACGUGACUUAUUGCCAGUGCGAGUGCCUAAUCAAAAUCAAUCCGACGGCUACACAGGAGACGGAUGUUGUGUGUGCAUCAACCGGAUGAAGGUUAGCGUUUUCCUUAAAGCAUCUCCAGCCGUUGCGCCCCAAAGACGCGUCGAAAACCGCCGCUUGGGGGCGAGCUGGCGCUAUUUUAGGCUUGGGUGCCAGUGUGUUCCCAGCCGCCCCCCCAGGUCGCCCCCAGGCGCCGAUAUCGGCCCAGUAUCGGCGCUUUCAGCCCAUUUUCGGCGCUGGAUUGGCCCAAUUUCCGGCGCUCAUUCAAAUAAGAUCAUCAAUAAAAUCAUCACAAAUAAUAAAAACACUCAUAUUUCAUUGCACGUCCGGCUAGGCGUUGCCCUUGAGCCUUCAUAGGUGCUCCACUAGAUCCUGCCGCAGCUGAUGAUGCACCUGUGGGUCUCGGAUCUCCUGGCGCAUGUUGAGGAAGGCCGUCCAUGUUGCAGGGAGCUGGUGAUCCACUUGGGCAAGAGGACCCUACCUGUAAUAUGGUUCAGUGUCAAACAUUGGCUCUUUCUGCUCGCUCUCAAUGAUCAUGUUGUGCAAAAUGACACAACAAGUCAUGAUCUCCCACAUUUGAUCUUUCGACCAAGUCUUAGCGGGGUACCGGAUAGCAGCAAAUCGAGAUUGGAGCACGCCAAAUGCUCGCUCGACAUCCUUCCUGCAAGCCUCCUGAACCUUCAAAAAGUGGGGGUUCUUGCCUCCUGACACAGGGCUUGAGAUAGUCUUCACAAAUGUUGACCAUCUCGGAUAGAUGCCAUCCGCUAGGUAGUACCCCUUGUUGUAUUGGUGCCCAUUGAUCUCGAAGUUCACCGAAGGAGAAUGGCCUCAACGAGCUUGGCAAAAACAGGAGAGCACUGCAGCACUCUGAUGUCAUUGUGAGUUCCUGGCAUACCAAAGAAAGCGUGCCAAAUCCAGAGGUCCUGUGUGGCCACUGCCUCAAAUAUCACACUGCAAGCUCCUUCGGUACCUUUGUACAUCCCCUGCCAAGCAAACGGGCAGUUCUUCCAUGCCCAAUGCAUGCAGUCGAUGCUUCCAAGCAUACCAGGAAAUCCUCUUGCUUCAUUCUGUGCCAGGAUCUGAGCAGUGUCUUCAGCAUUGGGUGAUCGCAAGUACCUCGGUCCAAACACUGCCACCACAGCCCUGCAGAAACUUGUAGGUGCACUCAAUGAUCUAGGACUCGGCCAUGCGCCCAUAGUCGUCGAGUGAAUCACCUGGAGCCCCGUAUGCAAGCAUUCUCAUAGCUGUCGUGCACUUCUGGAUUGAGGUGAAUCCAAGUGUGCCGGUGCAAUCCUUCUUGCACCUGAAGUAGUUGUCGUACUCCCUGAGUUCAUUGACUAUCCUGAGGAAAAGCUUUCGGCCCAUCCGAUAACGGCGCCGGAAAACUUUGUCGCCGUGCAGUGGAGCGUCGGCGAAGUAGUCGGAGUAGAGCAUGCAAUAGCCUUCGAGCCGAUGACGGUUCUUUGCUUUCCGUCGCCCCGGCGCCGAGCCGCCUCGCCUCGGCUUUGCAUCGCCGGCAAGCAAGCCGGCCAGGGCGGCGAGGACCAUGAGGUGUUCUUCGUCCUGGGCAGCGGCGGCGGCUUCCUCCUCGAGCAACGCCGCGAGCACCUCCUCGUCGUCAGAGUCCAUCGCGGCCGGGGCAGGCAAAGCACCGAACACGUAGCGGACGUCGUGCGCAGACUCGUCGGCGGGCGCCGGAGCGGCGAGGGAAACUCGGGGAAAGUGGGGGGAGAGGGCAUCGGGGGGAUCUUUCUUUGUUUCACGGCGAGGAAUGGCGAGAUAGCGGCGGCGGCGGUGGAGAGGUGGCUGGCGACGCCGGGAUCGGCAAGGUGUCGGGGAAGGAGAGGGGAAAACGGGGCGAAUCAGUGUGACUUUUCGUCUGACAGUGGGGACCCGGACGAUUUUCCCUUCCGCCGGUGCCCCCAAGCGCCCCCAAUGCGCUGGGUUCGGCCUGAGCGCGCCGGGUUAGGAAAUGGGUUGAUCCGGCGGAUUUCGGCGUCUUGGGGGCGUAACUGGGCCGUUUUUUCGGUGCCGAUAUUAAAAAAAAAGCGGUCUAGAGGGCGCGGCUGGAGAUGCUCUUAUUAUUACGCAGAAGACGCUAAAUAAUUCCAAGCAUUGGACUCUCUUUCAAAGAGUCAGAAACGAAAUCAAGCGGCUGAGAUCAAAUCCGUCCAUCCUCCAGCCAUCUCCAUCGGCCCAUAGGGCCUAGACCCCAUCAUCAACCUCUCUCGGUGUCUCCUCUCCCUGCCUCCCUAGUCCACCCCGCACCUCGUUCACUCCGCCGCCGUCUCCCUCCAUUCCUCCGCCACCGCCAGCCCACCUGCAUUCCACCAAUACCCACCCCCGCCCUCUAUAAAUAAACACGCGCACGCAUACACGCCACUAUCACCGCCGCCGCCUCCCCAGCCCCCAGAUCUCGACCCGACCUCCCAUCUGCAAUGGCGGCCGCAUCGUCGCUCCACGUCGCCGCCCCGGCCGCCACCCCGCGGGUGGGAUCUGCCGGCCCCAAAUCCGCGUCAGGUAGUCACCGUCGCCCCGCGCGUGGCUCUUCGCCCGUGGCUCGCCGGAUCUUCGCUGAUUUUGCGUGUGUUUUUCUCUGCUGUAGCGGCGAGGAGCGUGCGCGUGGCCAGAUCGGGCGCGGCGGCGCGUCAUGGAGGCAGGCUGGUGGCGUGUGCCGCCGUUGCAGUUGCGUGCUCUGUUCUGCUCUGAGAAUCUUUUCCUUCUUCUCUGGUGCACUGGACUGUUCGCUUAAUCUUGUUUGUGAUUUCGUGUGCAGACCAAGGCUGAUGCGCCGGCGAGCGAGGCGGCAUCCAAGUCUGAAGGGUAAGACUGUAACAUCACACUUCCUCGCCUGCCUGAUAUAUGCACAACUGUGUUCUGAGUGCUCAUGAUGAAUCAGGAUCCAUGCAAAACUACCUUGGGGAAAACGGAUUCGUGCAAAACCAACGAUUCAAUUGAUUGUUCAUCUCUCAGGAGCUAACAGUUCGAGUAUUGAACUCAAUUUAGCUUAGAUUUGAUUGGAUUCGCUGUCUUAGGCUGUAUUUGGCUACACUCCAGUUCAGAGUUCCAAGUUUGUUACGACUUGUAGUUUUUAGUGUCAUGUGUCACUAUAGUUGUCUGCUAAGUUGCAAACUUCCCUCGGUUGCCGAAGUGGUGGGCUGUUUAAACUUUUAAUAUGACCCCUGUCAAAAACACAUGGGGUUUUGGAAAGCGUGUGGUGAAGCUUCUCUACCUUUGACUAGGAUCGUAUCAGAAAUAAUUUUCUUUAUAAAAUCAGGAGAAAAGGGUGUCAUAAGGUUCUUAAUAAUAUUUCAUAAACAGAGGAAGGACGUAGUCAAAGUUGAAAGUUCGUAUACAGUAAGGACCAAAGUUAUACCGUUUUAGGACAGAAAGCCAGUUCUGUUUGUGCUUGAGGGCUUGAGUGGAUAUGGCUUGAAGCCACAUGAUUCCGCAGUCAGUUAAGUUUCUUUUUACUGAUGGAAAAGAUCGUAGGACCAACUGCCUAAUACAGUAGAUGAUAUGCACCUGUUCUUCUGGUGGACAGCAUACUUUAAUAACCCUAAUAGCAAACCAAUAAGUAGUUGGCAAGUGGCUAGGAACACAGAUUGCAGUAUAUCUAGGGAGUAAGCAAGCUGCUUCAGUGAAUUGCAAGCUGAGAUUUGGGACUACUUAAUAUUGUUUUGGUUAUUUUGACAAAGACAAUGCGCGAUGACUUGUUGCUUCUUUGCCUACUUAGUAAAAAAAAUUGAAGCUGUAUUUACUCUAUUUCCAUAUUUCAGUAAAAACUGACAUCAUUGUGAUUUGUUAAGCGCUUAACCUUUGCUUAGUAGAUUUUUAAAUCCUGGGUUUGGCACAAUAUUUUACUAUUUGUUGAUAGGCAGAGUAUUAAGUCAACACAAACCCGUAGCUUGGGAAUAUCAUGCAAACUCUCGUAUGAACUUCAGUUGGUGGGAUCUGUCAUAUGUACAUCCACCCAAGUAAACUGGAUUUAUUUUCCAAAAUUCAGUAGAAUGCUUACUACCGGAAGGGAAUAUGAUGCCUCUUUGACCUACCUGAGUUACCCCUGUGUAAGAUAUAGAUGGGUUGGGUGGAACCAGCUGACUAUUGGCCACAUUUACUGGCUUUGGCCUUUCUACUCUCCCCUCUGUAGGAAGCUUUAAACUGGGUUUGGUCUUUAAAAUGUAACUGUGCUACUCUCUCCAUUCUUCUAUUUUAUAUUACCCAAUAAACGAAGAUUUUACUGCAUUUGAUCUUUCAUGAAUAUGACUUCUUGUAUGCUCAAGUGCAAGUCCCUGAUUAUGUAAUAACUUCUAUGUAGUCAUGAGGUCUUGCUGUUCGAGGCUCUUCGCGAGGGUUUGAUGGAAGAGAUGCAAGCGGAUCCAACAGUGUGUGUCUUUGGUGAAGAUGUUGGUCACUAUGGUGGUUCUUACAAGGUGACCAAGGGUUUGGCUGACAUGUUUGGAGACCUUCGGGUUCUUGAUACACCGAUUGCGGAGAACUCAUUCACCGGCAUGGGAGUUGGAGCAGGCAUGAAGGGGCUGAGGCCUGUUGUUGAAGGCAUGAACAUGGGCUUCCUUCUCCUUGCUUACAACCAAAUCUCAAACAACUGCGGCAUGCUUCAUUACACCUCUGGUGGCCAGUUCAAGAUACCACUUGUGAUCAGAGGUCCUGGUGGUGUUGGUCGCCAGCUUGGUGCAGAGCAUUCACAGCGUCUUGAGUCAUACUUCCAGUCGAUCCCUGGUCUCCAGAUGGUUGCUUGCUCCACUCCUUACAAUGCCAAGGGUUUAAUGAAGGCUGCCAUAAGGAGCGAGAACCCUGUCGUGCUAUUUGAGCACGUCCUUCUGUACAACCUGAAGGAGAAAAUUCCGGAUGAGGAGUACACUCUAUGCCUGGAGGAGGCUGAGAUGGUACGGCCUGGUGAGCAUGUGACUAUCCUCACAUACUCGCGUAUGAGGUACCACGUGAUGCAGGCUGCAAAGACGCUGGUGAACAAAGGGUACGAUCCUGAGGUGAUUGACAUAAGGUCGUUGAAGCCAUUCGAUCUGCACACAAUAGGCAACUCCAUCAAGAAGACCCACCGCGUGCUGAUUGUGGAGGAGUGCAUGCGCACUGGCGGGAUCGGCGCCAGUCUGAGAUCGGCCAUCAUCGACAACUUCUGGGACUACCUUGACGCCCCCAUCAUGUGCCUGUCGUCUCAGGACGUGCCAACACCCUACGCCGCAACUUUGGAGGAUGCGACCGUCGUGCAGCCUGCCCAGAUUGUUGCCGCCGUCGAGCAAAUAUGCCAAUAGGGCAUCAUCUGUUUCAGCAUCGUUGAUUUGUAUCUGCCCUGGCUUGGAAGAACCUUUAAUUUGUCAUUUUUGCCUUGUAGCGAGGUGUUCAUUGUGGUAUAGGCUUGUAUCCAUUUUUUAUUCCAGCUACAUAACUGUACUGUAUUAUGCUGAAUGCUACUAGGGUCUGGACUCGGGUUUAUUGGAAGAAAUCUUUGAUUAUCCUGGGCAAGGUAUAGCCAUUUGUUUGAUUAUCUUUGUUUUGCCUUCUAAAGAAAGAUUGUCUCGGGCCACAUGGUUGAGGUCUCAAGAAAGCUUAGAUCAUGACAUCCAGAACAUGUCAGCAGCCAUGGCCUCACCACCAAUUGCAACAUUGAAAAGAAGAUCACAACACCCCUUCUCCAGGGGACGAGUCGCUUGCUUGAUCAGCCAAGCAACUUAAGGUUUAAUAAACCAUACUUACAGAGAUUGUCCAGGAGUCCAGGCUAAGCUACACUAGCUAGAUGAUCGCAUCAGUCUAAGCUACACUAGCUAGAUGAUCGCGGCUUACAUUCUCACAGAACCACACAUGACAUCACAGCUGGAACAAUACCAUCAGCAACAGCAGGAGGUGACACAGCCAGCCCAACCUCCCUUCAAACCCAUAGCGCCGGCGACCGUCGCUCGCCCUUUCCCUCACCGCCACGCCGCCCGGCUGGUAUGCCACGCCGGGGUUCCACCCGGUGGGUAUGGCGUUGCCGGCGACGAGCAUCUUGCCGGACCUGAAAGUCAGCCGGAUGGAGAAGGGCCCCUGGAGGGUGGAGCCGGAAAGCUUCCACACCGCGCCCCAGGACUGCUGCAUCGGGAUCCACACUCCGGUUGCCCCGGCACCGCUCUGCAUGAUGUCGACGGCGUAGAGGUCGCUGUCGCCGUCCUCGUACUCGACCAGGAUGGCGAGGUAGUUCGGGUUCGAGCCGCUGUCCACUUUGAAGGUCAGGCCUACUCCAGUCCAGUCACAGGUCACGCUGCACAGACACAAAUGCUAACACGACGGAUUAAUGGCGGCCAUAGAAGAGCCAUUGCAAGAGGCCAUGAAGAGUAACCAUGACCUAUAUGUGUUCCAUCGACUUGUGCGUACCGGGUGUACUGGAUUUGGAUGAGGCCAGCGCCGCGGAGCUGGUCAGCUUGGCCAGGUUUCGCCAUGGCGCCGAAUGCUGUCCCGCUCAUGUCGAAGUGCGCUGCCUCAUUCUGGCACUGUCCAUCGACUAACCCGCUCAGGCAUGGGCCGCCACCAGGGCCCUGGUCUGUGAUGACGACGGUCACCGGAAUACCAGAGCAAGCUUGAUUGCCACCGCAGACCACCUGAUGAAAUCAAGGUUACUGAAUGUCAAAUGACAGACAAGUUGCAGUCAUGCUCAUGGCCUCAGCUGCAUACGUAGAGCUACAGACGCACCCGGUAGCACGCGCCACAGCCAUCGCCAGAGUCGUAUAUGACAGGGCCGCCAGCGGCAAUCAUGGAUGAGAACGGCGGCUGGUCGACAGCAUACUGGUACCCGCAAGCGCCACCUACAACAGCACAUGUGAUUCAGGCAUGCAGGCAUCAGACGUUAACGUCAAGUUCAAACGCUAGUUUGGGCAGGGCUAGUGCCAUUCAAUCAUAUAUCUAUUACCUUCACUUCCCGCGCCAUUGGCGUCACCAUACCAAGUAGCGAUGCCAUCGGACCAGCCGGAGAGCUCAUGGUGGAUCUCAAUGGAUGCACAAGGGUGGAAGAGUGAAGCAAUAACAACUCUGGUGGCAAUGAAGGACAGGAGCUGAAGCUUGGAAGCCAUUCGCAGCACUCUGUCACAAUUAGCUAUCGCUGGUAAGGUUUGAGAAAGUGUUGGCUUGCAAGGAGGGAAGACAAAUAGAGGAAUAGUGUUAGUCUUGCAAUGUGCACAUUCAAUAGACAAUUUGUUUGAUAAAGGACAGGCCAUAGUACACAGGUUUUCUUUGGAGAGAGGACACACUGAAGCAAGAGUAGCAGGAUUUUGCAGUGCAAUCUUGUCAUUUUCUUGUACUCCCUCCGCUCCGAUCCAUAUCAAUUGUCGCUGAUUUAGUACAAAGUUGUACUAAAUCAGCGACAAUGAAUAUGGAUCAGAGGGAGUAACAAAAAUGGCAUCAAUCACUAAUUCGCUACCACACAGGGAACUGAUGAUCAGUUGACAAGUGACUCAGAGAGAGGAGAAUAAAUUUUGGAGAGAUCCUCUCCUUGCCUUGGCGCAGUGGUAAAGCUGCUGCCUUGUGACCAAGAGGUCACGGGUUCAAGUCCUGGAAACAGCCUCUUACAAAAAUGUAGGGAAAGGCUGCGUACUAUAGACCCAAAGUGGUCGGACCCUUCCCCGAACCCUGCGCAAGCAGGAGCUACAUGCACCGGGCUGCCCUUUUUUUUUUUUAGAGAUCCUCUCCUUGGGACAGAUGCAGACAUUCCGACAAAAAAUGGAUGUGUGCAUCGCAAUGAUGCAGAGGCCGGGGCUUUCACCCUCCUUUUAGAAGAAAAAAAACUGAAAAAAUUGGCAUGAGGCGAAAAUUCUAUAAUUGUCAAAUCAAUGUACAAAUGCUCCUGAAUUUUCUUAGACUAAUAUUCCAGGAUAUCUUAUGAGUAUGAUACUGAGAUAUAUGGAAAGGCAUCAUGAACUCAUUUGAUCCUGUCUAACAAUCCCAAAGAUCUUAAUAUGAAUAUCUGAUACACUUAAAAUGAAACGAGAGCAGAUUUUAAUGUGAUAGGUAAAGACUACAAGCGAUUGUUAUUUAAGCACAUCAUGCUAGUUACAAGCAUUAUCACCAUACAUCUAUUAUAGUUGGUUAAGAGCUCAGUGUUAUCACUGCAUCUAGGAUAGCCCUUAUGUCUAAACGGUUCUGGGGUGUAACAUGUAGUGCUAGCAGGGGUACAUAUAACAAAAAUGGUCUUAGACAUUGUGAGUGUCAUGUUUUUUUCUUAAUAAUGGAAGUUUUAUCACCCCGGCCUCUGCAUCCUAAGAUGCAUAUCGCUGUUUAUAAGCAUUUGACACCUCGAAUAAUAAUAAGGGUGAGUUACAGAUUUGAAGAAAAAUGCAAAAUCUGAAUAAUGAAAGAAUGUUGGGGCUCGUAGAAAACCAUUGCCUGAUCACCGGUUUCUAGUAUGUAAACAGAAUUAUUCCACAGCUUGUGCUACCAUACUCUUUUGGAGAGAAAAAUAUGAACUACUUUACUUCAAGAUUAGUAAACUUUUCUAGAAGAAGAGCACCACAGCAAAUCCUGAAUCCCACUAAUCUGACAUACAAAAUGAUUAAAGAUGUCACUACGCACAUUUCAUUUUGUAUUUCAAGAUUACUUAUCAUCAUUGCUACAUAGGGAGUAGAACAUUGUGCAGUGUAAGUAGGUACCUACAGAUCACGCAGCCAACACACAAAUUAGAAGUCUCAGUAUUGGCUGAUGACAGUUCUACUUCCUACAUAUACUCCCAUAUUUGCUCCUGGACGCAUCGCGAGCCAAUGAAGGGAAGCGUCUUCGAACACGGGGAGAGUUCGCAAACAAGCGAGCCUCGAGCCCCUAAGCUUGUUCCAAUUCAAAGCAAUCAGCAGAAUCGAGCAAUUUCCUACCUCUGGUAUUGCUUGCAAUCUGCUCAUAUCUGGGGCAAAUGUGUACCAAGGGACAGAAACGCGCAGCCUCCUAAACAAAUUCAAACUGAAGUGCACCAUACAUAUAUAUACACGCACUAGAAAAGCGCCAACACGAAUCAAUCCUAGGUCGAUUUGACCCGCUGCCUGGAAACGAUAACCAACCAAAUUUGCACGAACCCUGAAGGCCUGAAGAAGCGCCAUGCCAACAAGCAGGCGCAGUCACCAGUCGCGUCAGAACGGCACAGUGCGUAAGAAGUAUAGCGAGGAGUCUUACCCGUCGAGCCCGGCGACCACCGUGCUCCUCGAGUCCGGCCACCUUCCCCCCGCACGCACGGGGAAGACGAGCAGCAAAUGCGGCGGCGCAGAUUCGGAAGAGGAGCCAAGCGAAGGCGGGUCGAGGCGUCCGGCCAGUUGCUGCUGUAUUUGCAAGGAGAAGGCGGGGUUUGUUGAAAUGUGGGCGGCGGCGGCGGUGGAGGAAGGGAGGUGGCGGCGGGGGAAGAGAGAUGGUGGGGGAGUGGAGUGUCUCACGGCAUCUCCAGCCGUUGGCCCCCAGGGGGCGUCUAAAAGCGCCGCCUGGGGUGAGCCGGCGUAAAAAAUGGCUCUGGGGCGAGUCGGUCCCCAGCCGUCGGCCCCAGGGCCGUCCCCAGGCGCGUAUUAAAAAAUAAAAAAAAAACGUUCGGCGACGUUACGAUAAAAACUAAUUAAAUUUCGGCCAAACAUGGCAAAUUUCGGCGAAAUUCGUCCAAACAUUACAUUAACCUAAUCUGAAAAAAAGAAAGGGGGAAGUCGUCGCCGCCGUCGCCGCCAUCGUCGUCGGCGGCCUUCUCCUCCUUGACGCGGGCGCCCCUGCUGGACCCCUGCCCGGCGUCGCCAUGGCGAACAGGCGGCGGCGCGUCGUCGUCGUCGCUGCUGUCGCAUAAGACGACGACCCCGCCUUCCUCGCGGCCGCGUCGGCGCUCCUCGAAGCGGCGUAGGGCGGCGCGCUGGCGCUCCUUCUCCUUCUCGCGGCGCGCCUUCUCCAUCGCAAUGGAGUCCUGACGCGCCCAUUCGAGGACGGCGUCGCCGUCGUCGGCGAACUCGGCCUUCACCGGCGCCAGCCCCGGCUCCGUCUUCACCGGCGCCAGACCCGGCUCCGUCUUCACCGGCGCCAGCCCCGGCUCCGUCUUUGGCUUGACGAAGCGCGGAGGAGCCGACGAGGGGGCGCGCCGGCCGCCCUCGUUGAUGACGAUGCCGGCGCUGCGAGUGCGCCGGCCGAGCGGCGUCUCCUCCGCGGGCUCGGCCUUGACGCCGAGCAGCGCCGGAGAGCCGGAGGAGUGUGAAGAAGAACGGGAUGAUGAGGAGGAAGAAGAGGAGGCGCCGAACCUUCUUGGAGCCCAUGGCCCAGCGCGUCGGUGCUGCGCCGGGGCGGCCACCCUCGCCGGGGGGUACGCCAACGGCGGGUCGUUGCCGCCCUCGAGGUACGUGAGCACGCCCUCGAGUGUGCGGCCGGGGACGCACCACCAGAGGUAGCGUCCCUCGCUGUUCUGCCGGCUGCCGACCACCGGCGCGCCGUUGGUGGACGCCAAGCGCUGCUGUUGGCGGCGCUCGAAAUACGCCGCCCAGGCCGCGUGGUUGUCGGCGGCGUACUGGGGGAGGGAGAGCUCGGCGUCGGUGAGGGACGCGCGCACGAUCUCGACCUCCUCGGCGAAGUACCUCGGGUCCGCCGCGGCGUCAGGCAACGGGGGAAUGGGCACUCCCCCGGCGCUGAGUCUCCACCCCGUCGGCCCGGCGCGCAUGUCCGGCAGCGCCGGGAUGUUCGCCUGGAACAGGAGCCACGACUCCUGUUUGCGCAGCGAACGGCGGCCGAAGUCGUUGGCCGCCGCCGUAUCUCCGGGGAAGCGCUCUGCCAUGGCGAAGGCGGGGCUGGGCGGGCUCGGAAGAGGUAGAGGGAGGGGCUGGGCGACGGCGCUCGGGGAGAGGUAGGGAGAGGAAGGGCUGGACGGCGCGAGGGGCGGGGCUGGUGUGGGCGCAGGUGAGCGGAGGCCACCGGCUUUUAUAGCCGGGCCGCGCCCGUGUGUACGCGUGUGAGGGAGUGGAGGCGUCGGCGCGCCGUCCCGUGAACGCGCCGCCCGUGAGGAAUCAAUGGCAAGGCUGACCGGCGGCAGCCUUGCCAUUGAUUCCCCGCGGGAACCGAGGCCGUUGGGGGAAGACGAGGCGCCGAGUCGCUGACGCGGCUGGCCCGCGUCUUUUUCGCGCCAAAACAGCUCGCCCCGGCGCCCCCGGGCGCCCCCCAGCGCGCCGGGUUCGGCCUGGGUCCGCCGGCGCUGUUUUCGGCCCAAGCAGGCGAAAAUCGGGCUCCUGGGGACGCGACUGGGCCGUUUUUUCGGCGCCGGCGCGAAAAAAUCGCCUGGGGCGCGGCUGAAGAUGCCCUCACACCUCACGGUCGAAAGGAGCGAGAUGGAGAGAGGGGAAAGUUAGAGAAGCUACAGUACCCUAACUUCCCUUCUUUCUAUCCACAUGAUUAAGGUUAAAUGAUUUAAAUUAAUUUCUAAAUUAAUAAUCUACUGCGUAUAUUUAUAGUAAUUACAUACAAACAAAUUGAUGGUGAAAUAAAAUUAUUUUAAAAUAUUUAUAUCUACAGUAAAUAUCAACACUAAACAACCUUCUAGCUAUCUACUAACUGUUCUUAACUUUCUUUCUUCAUUUUACACUAGGCUAUCACUGUAGCACGGUGACUUUCCUUUAGAGGAUCCGGUUCCGGCGAGUGGGUGACAUGCCUGUUUUGGUUGCACGCCCGGCCGGCCGGGGCACUGUCCAUCGCGUCUCCCUGGCCCACGACAAGCUGGUAAGCUUUGUCAUUUUCAAAUAAUGACAUUUCACAACCUCGAAAACCCCACUAUAUAUGUACUGUAUAAUCAAACAAAUCCUGCACUAUGGUCAGUCCAAAUUAGAAGGUUUCUUUUUUAAAAAAAAAGAAAAAUGACCUAUAUGGGAGGAACUGAAAGGAUGCAGGGGAAUUUAUUGGGGAAAAAAUAAAUAUGGUGAGGGGAGAGGGUCCGAUAAGAUAUUGGAGAAAGGUUGUUAACAACAUCACCAACCGCAGUCAAACUGGACAAAAUUUAUAUAAAACGGACGCCUUUCAUAGAAAUUGGAGCACACUCAUUACAUUCUUUUUAAAUAUUUUUCAUUAAAAAAGGCGAUUGGACCUAAACUUAGCCCACGGCGAUGUCCGUCCUCCACAUCCUUGUUCCCUUUCGGCGUUUGCCGGGUCCAUCUUGCCGUUUCCAUGAGCGGCGGAAAUGAGACACGUCAAGUGAAGGUGCGGUCGCUGGCAAGGAAGAGUGGGACAUGGGAGACGAACCGAUCCACUUGGGACUCGAGGCCCCGCCGCCUCCCAUGCACUACUCCUCAUCGGAGUCUGUGACCUGUCUGUCGCCGGUGGACGUAAGGUCAAUGAUGGACGUGGACGAGAUAGCACGCUCCUCAUGCUACCGGCGCGCUCGAAAGUUUGUUGGCGGCGCGUAGGACGCGUAGCUGCCAGCGUUCUCGUCCAUGAUCGCCUGCGCCACCUCCUCAUCAGACUGCACCGUGCCCGCAUCUGAUUGCGCCGGGACAACGUUGCAAGCGACGGCCUGAGCGCGCGCGACCUUGUAGAAAGACCGCUGCUCGGCGACGAAGUUGGGGUUAGCCGCGACCAUGGCCGCCACGGCUUCCUCGCUCGCGCCAUCGCUGUAGAACUGCCUCUCGCCAACUGGUGCUGCUCGAGAAGGAAGAGGUUGUACCGCUACUCCUCCCACGCCUGUCGUAAAACUGGCAUUGGCACUUGCAUCGACUGCUCCUUCGCCAUGGCGGAUUGAAGUGCGUCUCCGCCUGCUCCAUGGUGAAGCCAGCAUGGACAGGCACAAGCGCUGUGUGACGCCCGAAUAUUUAAGCUACAGUGAACCUCUGCUAAUGAUGCCACAUCACCCCGAUUACUGUUACUAAUCUCACGUUAGUUUGAAACCGGUUCGGAUUCAAAUUAAAAAAAUCAAGCAAACAACAAAUGUUUUCAAAUAUUAAAAUUAAAAUGUUUGGAAUGAGCCAAAUAAUGCAUAUGUAAUUAUGGUGGAGAAACCAACCUCUUUGGAAGUGUAUGAUUGUCCCAAAGUAAAUAAAACAGUAGCAAAACAAUUAGUUAAGUGCCUUUUAUGAUUAAUAAAAUAUUAAACUAUUUUAUCUAGUUGCCCAAGUUUUUGUGGCAUUAGAAUAUGUAGUAACACUAUUUUAGGAACUAAUUAUAUAUUUUACUAAAACUAAAGUAUGUUGGAAAUAAUAGAAAAUAGUAAAGAAAAAAUAAGUAAAAAGAAAAGAACAAAACAAAAAUAAAAAAAAUAAAAAAAAUAAAAUAAAAGGACCCCCUGGCCAACUGGGCCAGACGGCUCAGCUGGCCGGCCCACCAACCGGUCCAAACCCCCUCCAUAUCCCCAUCACGGGGAAACCCUAACCCCCCGACCGCACACUCCCCCCNNNNNNNNNNNNNNNNNNNNNNNNNNNNNNNNNNNNNNNNNNNNNNNNNNNNNNNNNNNNNNNNNNNNNNNNNNNNNNNNNNNNNNNNNNNNNNNNNNNNNNNNNNNNNNNNNNNNNNNNNNNNNNNNNNNNNNNNNNNNNNNNNNNNNNNNNNNNNNNNNNNNNNNNNNNNNNNNNNNNNNNNNNNNNNNNNNNNNNNNNNNNNNNNNNNNNNNNNNNNNNNNNNNNNNNNNNNNNNNNNNNNNNNNNNNNNNNNNNNNNNNNNNNNNNNNNNNNNNNNNNNNNNNNNNNNNNNNNNNNNNNNNNNNNNNNNNNNNCCCACUCCCCACGUCUCCCCUCUCCUCCUCCUGAUCCGAUCUGGAUCGGGGACGAACCCGCUCCUCCCUCUCAUGACGCCAGCGCCCUGACCCCGUCGCCGGACUCUCCCAUCGCCUCGAUGCCCGCGUCGUCCCCCUCCACUGCGCCCCGUUGUCGGUGUCAAAACCGGCUGAUCUCAGGUAGGGGGUCUCGAACUGUGCGUCUAAGGUCGAUCGUAGCAGGAGACAGGGGACACGAUGUUUACCCAGGUUCGGGCCCUCUCUAUGGAGGUAAUACCCUACUUCCUGCUUGAUUGAUCUUGAUGAAUAUGAGUAUUACAAGAGUUGAUCUACCACUAGAUCGAGAUGGCUAAACCCUAAAGGCCUAGCCUGUAUGACUAUGGUAAUGAUUGUCUCCCCUCCGGACUAAGUCCUUCGGUUUAUAUAGACACCGGGAGGAUCUAGGGUUACACAAGGUCGGUUACAAAGAAAGGAAUCUACUUAUUUGGUCGCCAAGCUUGCCUUCCACGCCAAGGAGAGUCCCAUCCGGACACGGGUGCAGUCUUCGGUCUUCGUAUCUUCACAGCCCAUCAGUUCGGCCCAUGGCUAACAGGCCGGACGCCUGAGGACCCCUUAGUCUAGGACUCCCUCAGUAGCCCCCAAAUCAGUCUUCAAUGACGAAGUAUUCGGCGCAUAGAUUGUCUUCGGCAUUGCAAGGCGGGUUCCUCCACCGAUGACUUCCAAGUAGUGUGUUCGACCUUUCAUUUAAUGUUGUACCCCUCGGCUUCUGUACAUUAACAACUUUGGUUUCCACGUGUCGAGCGAAUGCGAGAGGUCAGGGCAUUUUUGCACUUAAAACCCCAGCCACGCGAGGGACAACGUCUAUUUAACAAGAUUGGAUCCCAGAUCCAUUCAACAUCUCGCGGAGAAAAUCCUCAAAGGUUGCCAGGAAGGAACACUCCAACAUGUCUAGCGUCCCCAGCCCCUCCUCCCGUCCCUGCGGCCCAGAAAGAGGCGAAUGGGAGAAGUGCUUUGUAUCCCACCGUCAGAUGGUGGAGCUGCAAACGCAGGGGUUUCUCCCCCCUGUGGAUCUAGUUCCUGUUCGAGCAGGGUUGGCCUCCUUCAACGGCAAAACCCAGGCGGAGGAUUUCCCCAAUCCAUGUGUGGGAACGAGUGUGUUUCGUCCCCUAUCUGCUAAGGGGCGUGGGAUUUUCAAUUCAUCCUUUCAUCCGAGGGCUUCUGGAAUAUUAUGGCCUCCAGCUACACAACUUUACUCCGGCCUCCAGCCUGCACAUUGCGGGUUACGUCGCUUUAUGCGAACUAUUCCUGGGAUGUGAGGCCCAUUUUAAACUGUGGAGAAGGUUAUUCCGCCUUGUCCCGCGCACGCGCACGCGCGCCCGAGCCCCGCCUCGCUCUAUCGUUGUAGCUGCUGCUCCAUCACACUGCCGAUCGCACCCGCGCCGUCCACACCUCGGCGCCCUAACGUCGCGCUUCGCCCCGUCCGGCUCGUCCGUUGCCGCCCCUGGCCGUUCUGUUCCCCGCGUCGUCUGUUCGCUGUUGCUCUGACCCCACGGCUGCGUGAUGUCGCUGUUGCCUCCGCCGCCUGACGCAGCUGCCGCUGCCAUGCUGCCCCCUGGCUCGCCGGUCGCCCUCGCUCCGCCCGCGCCCCGCUCGCUCCUCGAGUUGCGGUCGUGCCACUCGCCGUCCCGCCAUUGCUCGCGCCGCCUCGCGCUCGCCUUCGUGCCCUUCCCCGCUUGCCUCAUGUCACCGCCUGCAGCUGCGCGUCGGCCCGCGCCCGCCGCUGCCCUCCCGUCGGCGACCCUCCCUCCGGCGACCGCCCGCACCUCGCCGCCGUCCACUGCCCCGCGGCCCCCUCCGCUCGCACUUGGGGCCGCGUCAUGGCGCCCCCGCGCGCUGGCCGUCGCUCGGGCUGCGGUUGCGCCGCAACAACUGUUCGGGCUAUGCCCGAUAACCAUGCCUGAUAGGCCCCCAGGGCCUAUGACAAAGGGGCCCACCCCACUGGAACAUUUAUAUAAUAAUCAAUCAAUUAACUAAUCUAAUUUAAUUAAUCUUUCUUAAUUAAACCCUAAUUAACAUGUUAGUCUAUGAUAGGUGGGUCUCAAUGGACCCACAUGUCAGGUUUGACUCUAGUCAACCACACUUUUGACUGCUGAUGUCACACCUACGCCAUGAUGAUGUCAUCACAUACUAUUCUGGAUAAUAUUGGUUUAAAUUUAUGAAAUAAAUUUCAGAAAAUGUUUAAAACUUUAGAAAAUCCUAGAUAAUAAUCCGUAAUUCGGAUGGAAAAACUUUGUACAUGAAAGUUGCUCAGAAUGACGAGACGAAUCCAGAUAAGUAGCACGUUCAUCCGCCACAAUCCAUAGCAUAGAGAACACGCAACUUUCCCCCUUCGGUUCAACUAUCCGAAAACGCGAAACACCGGGGAUACUUUCUCGGAAGUUUUCCCCCCUUCACCGGUAUCACCUCCUACCGCGUUAAGCACACAUGGCACCAUUACUUUUCAUGUCAUGCAUCAAUAUGCAUCUAUUUGCAUUAUAUUCAUUGUUUCUUCCCCCUCUUCUCUCUGGUAGACUACGAGACUGACGCCGCUACUGGUGCCCCGAUCAACUACAUUGUUGACGACCCCUCCUUGCUAGAGCAACCAGGCAAGCCCCCCUUGAUCAACCUGAUCUCGCCUAUACCUUCUCUCUACUACUUGCAUUAGAGUAGUGUAGCAUGUUACUGCCUUCGGUUAAUCCUAUUCUGCUGCAUGGCCUAUCUUUGCUACUAUUGUUGUUACCUUUACCUACAAUCCUAAAUGCUUAGUAUAGGAUGCUAGUAUUCCAUCAGUGGCCCUACAUUCUUGUCCGUCUGCCAUGCUAUACUAUCGGGUCGUGAUCACUCGGGAGGUGAUCACGGGUUUAUGCUUAUAUACAUAAUAUAUGAUACCUGUGAUGACUAAAGCCGGGUCGGCUCGUAGAGUACCCGUGAGUGAUUCAUAGAUUGGGGGCAGAAAGGACAUUUGUCCCGACUACCCUCUAGGUGGAUCUUUGUGGCGGAGCGACAGGGCAGGAUGAGACCACCUAGGUGAGAGGUGGCCCUGGCCCUGGUCGGCAUCCGUGGUUACUUCAGAAUAACACGCUUAACGAGAUCUUGGUAUUUGAUCCAAGUCUGGUCAAUGGCCUAUACACACUAACCAACUAUGCGGGAAUAGUUAUGGGCACUCAACGUCGUGGUAUCAGCCGAAGCCUUCUUGACGUCAACGACUGAGCGCACGCCGGAUUGGACUGGAAUGUCUGCUCUUGUAUUAGGGAGGCUAGGUCUGCUUCCGGUCGCCCACGCAACGUGCAGGUGUGCAAUGGGAGAUGGGCCCAGACCCCUGCACUCUUAGGAUUGAGACCGGCGUGCUGACCUCUCUAUUGUGCCUAGGUGGGGCUGCGAUGUGUUGAUCUUCCGAGGCCGGGCAUGACUCAGGAAAGUGUGUCCGGCCAGAGGGAUCGAGCGUGUUGGGUAAUGUGGUGCACACCUGCAGGGAAGUUUAUCUAUUCGAAUAGUCGUGUCCCUCGGUAAAAGGACGACCCAGAGUUGUACCUUGACAUUAUGACAACUAGAACCGGAUACUUAAUAAAAUACACCCUUUCAAGUGCCAGAUACAACCAGGUGAUCGCUCUCUCACAUGGCGACGAGGGGAGGAUCGCCGGGUAGGAUUAUGCUGUGCGAUGAUACUUGGUUAACUUACCAUCUACUCUCUUCUACUGCUUCAAGAUGGAGGCUCCUAGAAGCGUAGUCUUUGAUGGGACUAGCUAUCCUCCUCUUAUUCUGGCAUUCUGCAGUUUGGUCCACAUAUACUACCCCUUUCAUUGAUACCAACACAUAUGUAGUGUAGUUCCUUGCUUGCGAGUACUUUGGAUGAGUACUCACGAUUGCUUUGCUCCCCUUUUCCCCCUUUUCUAUACCUGGUUGUCACAACCAGAUGAUGGAGCCCAGCAGCCAGACGCCUCCAUCGACGAUGACUCCUACUACACCGGAGGUGCCUACUACUAUGUGCAGGCUGCCGCCGACGACCAGGAGUAGUUUAGGAGGAUCCCAGGCAGAAGGCCUGCUCCUCUUUCGAUCUGUAUCCCAGUUUGUGCUAGCCAUCUUAUGGCAACUUGUUUAACUUAUGUCUGUACUCAGAUAUUGUUGCUUCCGCUGACUCGUCUAUGAUUGAGCUCUUGUAUUCGAGCCCUCGAGGUCCCUGGCUUGUAAUAUGAUGCUUGUAUGACUUAUUUUAUUUUUAGAGUUGUGUUGUGAUAUCUUCCCGUGAGUCCUUGAUCUUGAUCGUACACAUUUGCGUGUAUGAUUAGUGUACGGUCAAAUCGGGGGCGUCACACGCUGGCACUGAUUCAUCAUCGGAGCGUGGGGUCAUCGUCAUAGACCUCCGGGGAGCUGGCCAGCACGUCAACCUCUAUUCGCUUGCCACGAAGGCUCUGUCGGGUGGCCACCUGGUGCUUAUGCUUCAUCGAGAGGCUCUACCACAACGCGCUCCGGCUCACGGUCAUGGCAGAUGUGGUGCACGGGAGGAGGAUGUGGAGUGGACUUGGUGUGGUGUGGUUUGAGCCAGGAAUGACCACCUUUAAAUAGCAGAUAUUAGUGAGGCCAAGCGUCCGUGUGUGUGAAUGUGCAAGUGCCGGAGUUGGUUUCAAGGUGCCUGUUUAAUGGCGGCAGAUGAACUGACGGGCAUUGAACGUGUGCGACAGAUAUCCAUCCCGCCCCGUCCAGGAAUGUCUCUCCGACAUCGAACAUGCGUGGACACCAGAGACACAGCGCGGGCGGCGCCCUCGUCCAGCGAGCCGCUUCAAUGCUGGCGCCAAUGAGAGGUCACAUCCGCUCUAGGCCGUUCUCUAGAUUGGCAUGAACAUGGGCAACUGCUUCGGACGGGAAAGCGCGCGGGCGAGCGAUGGGGUUUUGCGUGGGCCAGGGGUGUUGAACGCAUGCGCGAUAGCUGUCUGGACACCCGCAAAGCCCCCUAAUUUGCUCCCGGUUUGCAGAAAAAAGGACAUCUGAACCAUGUGACGGACGAAUGAAGGACCAUGUUGGAUGGUAAAACACGUUCGGACUGUGCGAUCGAAACAUGUUUGAACGGUUUAAGGAUCGGCAUUGAAGAUGCUCUAAGAGUUCAACCGAGGAUAAACAACCGGAGGAUAAACAAGAGAGACACUACACUCAGGGAGCAAUACACAUAUUAUUUUUUUGCAUUUCGAUCGAAAGUAUGUAUCCUCUUAUAGAAGUGUAACCCUCUCGUUGUCUUUACUUAAGGAAGCACAAAGUCAGCUAUUAUGAAGUCCCGAUGUCUUCAGUUAAAAUCUCAAGCUCCGAUGGCUCUACUAGAUUAGAUUCCUCAACCAGAUCGUAACGAGCCCCAGUAUGAAAUAUCCUAGAUCUUGAGCAUACGUGGGCGCCAAACUCGUACCAUGUGAGUAGCUACAAAUGGUUGUUUAUGAGCUCAUGAGCUUAUUAUCCUAGGUCGUAACAAAUGAGUAACUGAUAGUGAUAGGAUUCAAUUUUUAUUGUCCUCACCCCCCUAUGGUGUGGCGGCAUGGGGGUGUCAAUAGGGGUGCUGGUUCAACAACAUCGUCUCACCAGUGGUACGUAGAUUGCCAACAUGUCGAAGAGGCGAGACUGGAAGCUUUUCCCGUAGCUAAAUGGCGCGUGGUUCGGCUUUCCCAUGAAGGUGCCAUGUCAUCCCUGUUGGGGAACAUAGUAAUUUCAAAAAAAUUCCUACGCACACGCAAGAUCAUGGUGAUGCAUAGCAACGAGAGGGGAGAGUGUGAUCUACUUACCCUUGUAGAUCGACAACGGAAGCGUUAACUUGGUUGAUGUAGUCGUACGUCUUCACGGCCCGACCGAUCAAGCACCGAAACUACGGCACCUCCGAGUUCUAGCACACGUUCAGCUCGAUGACGAUCCCCGGACUCCGAUCCAGCAAAGUGUCGGGGAAGAGUUCCAUCAGCACGAUGGCGUGGUGACGAUCUUGAUGUACUAAUGUCGCAGGGCUUCUCCUAAACACCGCUACAAUAUUAUCGAGGACUAUGGUGGAAGGGGGCACCGCACACGGCUAAGAAUAUGAUCACGUGGAUCAACUUGUGUCUCUAGGGGGUGCCCCUGCCUCCGUAUAUNNNNNNNNNNNNNNNNNNNNNNNNNNNNNNNNNNNNNNNNNNNNNNNNNNNNNNNNNNNNNNNGGCCAGGAGAGGCGCAUCAGAAGGAGUCCUACUCCCUCCGGGAGUAGGACUCCCCCCCUUUCCUAGUUGGAAUAGGAUUCUCGGAGGAGAGAGAGGAGGAAGGGGGGCCGACCCACUCUCCUUGUCCUAUUCGGACCAAGGGAGGGGAGGGGCGCGCGGCCCAUCUCUGGCUACCUCUUCUCUCUUCCACUAAGGCCCACUAAGGCCCAUAUAUCUCCCGGGGGGGGGGGUCCGGUAACCUCCCGGUACUCCGGUAAAAUCCCGAUUUCACCCGGAACACUUUCGAUAUCCAAACAUAGGCUUCCAAUAUACCAAUCUUUAUGUCUCGACCAUUUCGAGACUCCUCGUCAUGUCCGUGAUCACAUCUGGGACUCCGAACAACCUUCGGUACAUCAAAACGCAUAAACUCAUAAUAUAACUGUCAUCGAAACCUUAAGCGUGCGGACCCUACUGGUUCGAGAACAAUGUAGACAUGACCGAGACACGUCUCCGGUCAAUAACCAAUAGCGGGACCUGGAUGCCCAUAUUGGUUCCUACAUAUUCUACGAAGAUCUUUUAUCGGUCAGACCGCAUAACAACAUACGUUGUUCCCUUUGUCAUCGGUAUGUUACUUGCCCGAGAUUCGAUCGUCGGUAUCCAAUACCUAGUUCAAUCUCGUUACCGGCAAGUCUCUUUACUCGUUCUAUAAUACAUCAUCCCGCAACUAACUCAUUAGUUGCAAUGCUUGCAAGGCUUAAGUGAUGUGCAUUACCGAGAGGGCCCAGAGAUACCUCUCCGACGAUCGGAGUGACAAAUCCUAAUCUCGAAAUACGUCAACCCAACAUGUACCUUUGGAGACACCUGUAGAGCACCUUUAUAAUCACCCAGUUACGUUGUGACGUUUGGUAGCACACAAAGUGUUCCUCCGGCACACGGGAGUUACAUAAUCUCAUAGUCAUAGGAACAUGUAUAAGUCAUGAAGAAAGCAAUAGCAACAUACUAAACGAUCGGGUGCUAAGCUAAUGGAAUGGGUCAUGUCAAUCAGAUCAUUCAACUAAUGAUGUGAUCCCGUUAAUGAAAUAACAACUCUUUGUCCAUGGUUAGGAAACAUAACCAUCUUUGAUUAACGAGCUAGUCAAGUAGAGGCAUACUAGUGACACUCUGUUUGUCUAUGUAUUCACACAUGUAUUAUGUUUCCGGUUAAUACAAUUCUAGCAUGAAUAAUAAACUUUUAUCAUGAUAUAAGGAAAUAAAUAAUAACUUUAUUAUUGCCUCUAGGGCAUAUUUCCUUCAGUCUCCCACUUGCACUAGAGUCAAUAAUCUAGAUUACACAGUAAUGAUUCUAACACCCAUGGAGCCUUGGUGCUGAUCAUGUUUUGCUUGUGGAAGAGGCUUAGUCAACGGGUCUGCUACAUUCAGAUCCGUAUGUAUCUUGCAAAUCUCUAUGUCUCCCACCUGGACCAGAUCCCGGAUGGAAUUGAAGCAUCUUUUGAUGUGCUUGGUUCUUUUGUGAAAUCUGGAUUCCUUCGCCAAGGCAAGUGCACCAGUAUUGUCACAAAAGAUUUUCAUUGGACCCGAUGCACUAGGUAUGACACCUAGAUCGGAUAUGAACUCCUUCAUCCAGACUCCUUCGUUUGCUGCUUCCGAAGCAGCUAUGUACUCUGCUUCACAUGUAGAUCCCGCCACGACGCUUUGUUUAGAACUGCACCAACUGACAGCUCCACCGUUUAAUGUAAACACGUAUCCGGUUUGCGAUUUAGAAUCAUCUGCAUCAGUGUCAAAGCUUGCAUCAACGUAACCGUUUACGAUGAGCUCUUUGUCACCUCCAUAUACGAGAAACAUAUCCUUAGUCCUUUUCAGGUACUUCAGGAUGUUCUUGACCGCUGUCUAGUGAUCCACUCCUGGAUUACUUUGGUACCUCCCUGCUAGACUUAUAGCAAGGCACACAUCAGGUCUGGUACACAACAUUGCAUACAUGAUAGAGCCUAUGGCUGAAGCAUAGGGAACAUCUUUCAUUUUCUCUCUAUCUUCUGCAGUGGUUGGUCAUUGAGUCUGACUCAACUUCACACCUUGUAAUACAGGCAAGAACCCUUUCUUUGCUUGAUCCAUUUUGAACUUCUUCAAAAUCUUGUCAAGGUAUGUGCUUUGUGAAAGUCCAAUUAAGCGUCUUGAUCUAUCUCUAUAGAUCUUUAUGCCUAAUAUGUAAGCAGCUUCACUGAGGUCUUUCAUUGAAAAACUCUUAUUCAAGUAUCCCUUUAUGCUAUCCAGAAAUUCUAUAUCAUUUCCAAUCAGUAAUAUGUCAUCCACAUACAAUAUCAGAAAUGCUACAGAGCUCCCACUCACUUUUUUGUAAAUACAAGCUUCUCCGAAAGUCUGUAUAAAACCAAAUGCUUUGAUCACACUAUCAAAACGUUUAUUCCAACUCCGAGAGGCUUGCACCAGUCCAUAAAUGGAUCGCUGGAGCUUGCACACUUUAUUAGCUCCCUUUGGAUCGACAAAACCUUCCGGUUGCAUCAUAUACAACUCUUCUUUCAGAAAUCCAUUCAGGAAUGCAGUUUUGACAUCCAUCUGCCAAAUUUCAUAAUCAUAAAAUGCGGCAAUUGCUAACAUGAUUCGGACAGACUUAAGCAUCGCUACGGGUGAGAAGGUCUCAUCGUAGUCAACCCCUUGAACUUGCCGAAACCCUUUUGCGACAAGUCGAGCUUUGUAGAUAGUAAUAUUACCGUCUGCGUCAGUCUUCUUCUUGAAGAUCCAUUUAUUCUCAAUUGCUUGCCGAUCAUCGGGCAAGUCAACCAAAGUCCACACUUUGUUCUCAUACAUGGAUCCCAUCUCAGAUUUCAUGGCUUCAAGCCAUUUUGCGGAAUCUAGGCUCACCAUCGCUUCUUCAUAGUUCGUAGGUUCAUCAUGAUCUAGCAGUAUGACUUCCAGAACAGGAUUACCGUACCACUCUGGCGCGGAUCUUAAUCUGGUUGAUCUACGAGGUUCAGUAGUAUCUUGUCCUGAAGUUUCAUGAUCAUUAUCAUUAGCUUCCUCACUAAUUGGUGUAGGUGUCGCAGAAACAGGUUUCUGUGAUGUACUACUUUCCAAUAAGGGAGCAGGUACAGUUACCUCGUCAAGUUCUACUUUCCUCCCACUCACAUCUUUCGAGAGAAACUCCUUCUCCAGAAAGUUUCCGAACUUAGCAACAAAAGUCUUGCCUUCGGAUCUGUGAUAGAAGGUGUAUCCAAUAGUCUCCUUUGGAUAUCCUAUGAAGACACAUUUCUCCGAUUUGGGUUCGAGCUUAUCAGGUUGAAACUUUUUGACAUAAGCAUCGCAGCCCCAAACUUUCAGAAACGACAACUUUGGUUUCUUGCCAAACCAUAGUUCAUAAGGCGUCGUCUCAACGGAUUUUGAUGGUGCCCUAUUUAACGUGAAUGCGGCCGUCUCUAAAGCAUAACCCCAAAACGAUAGCAGUAAAUCAGUAAGAGACAUCAUAGAUCGCACCAUAUCUAGUAAAGUACGAUUACGACGUUCGGACACACCAUUACGCUGUGGUGUUCCGGGUGGCGUGAGUUGCGAAACUAUUCCGCAUUGUUUCAAAUGUACACCAAACUCGUAACUCAAAUAUUCUUCCUCCACAAUCAGAUCGUAGAAACUUUAUUUUCUUGUUACGAUGAUUUUCAACUUCACUCUGAAAUUCUUUGAACUUUUUAAAUGUUUCAGACUUAUGUUUCAUUAAGUAGAUAUACCCAUAUCUGCUUAAGUCAUCUGUGAAGGUGAGAAAAUAACGAUAUCCGCCACGAGCCUCAAUAUUCAUCGGACCACAUACAUCUGUAUGUAUGAUUUCCAACAAAUCUGUUGCUCUCUCCAUAGUACCGGAGAAUGGUGUUUUAGUCAUCUUGCCCAUAAGGCACGGUUCGCAAGUACCAAGUGAUUCAUAAUCAAGUGGUUCCAAAAGUCCAUCAGUAUGGAGUUUCUUCAUGCGCUUUACACCGAUAUGACCUAAACGGCAGUGCCAUAAAUAAGUUGCACCAUCAUUAUCAACUCUGCAUCUUUUGGCUUCAACAUUAUGAAUAUGUGUGUCACUACUAUCGAGAUUCAAUAAGAAUAGACCACUCUUCAAGGGUGCAUGACCAUAAAAGAUAUUACUCAUAUAAAUAGAACAACCAUUAUUCUCUGAUUUAAAUGAAUAACCGUCUCGCAUCAAACAAGAUCCAGAUAUAAUGUUCAUGCUUAACGCUGGCACCAAAUAAGAAUUAUUUAGGUCUAAUAUUAAUCCCGAAGGUAGAUGUAGAAGUAGCGUGCCGACCGCGAUCACAUCGACUUUGGAACCGUUUCCCACGCGCAUCGUCACCUCGUCCUUAGCCAAUCUUCGCUUAAUCCGUAGUCCCUGUUUCGAGUUGCAAAUAUUAGCAACAGAACCAGUAUCAAAUACUCAGGUACUACUGCGAGCAUUAGUAAGGUACACAUCAAUAACAUGUAUAUCACAUAUACCUUUGUUCACCUUGCCAUCCUUCUUAUCCGCCAAAUACUUGGGGCAGUUCCGCUUCCAGUGACCAGUCUGCUUGCAGUAGAAGCACUCAGUUUCAGGCUUAGGUCCAGACUUGGGUUUCUUCUCUUGAGCAGCAACUUGCUUGCUGUUCUUCUUGAAGUUCCCCUUCUUCUUCCCUUUGCCCUUUUUCUUGAAACUAGUGGUCUUGUUGACCAUCAACACUUGAUGCUCCUUCUUGAUUUCUACCUCCGCAGCUUUCAGCAUUGCGAAGAGCUCGGGAAUAGUCCUAUUCAUCCCUUGCAUAUUAUAGUUCAUCACGAAGCUCUUGUAGCUUGGUGGCAGUGAUUGGAGAAUUCUGUCAAUGACGCAAUUAUCUGGAAGAUUAACUCCCAUUUGAAUCAAGUGAUUAUUAUACCCAGACAUUUUGAGUAUAUGCUCACUGACAGAACUGUUCUCCUCCAUCUUGCAGCUAUAGAACUUAUUGGAGACUUCAUAUCUCUCAAUCCGGGCAUUUGCUUGAAAUAUUAACUUCAACUCCUGGAACAUCUCAUAUGCCCCAUGACGUUCAAAACGUCGUUGAAGUCCCGGUUCUAAGCCGUAAAGCAUGGCACAUUGAACUAUCGAGUAGUCAUCAGCUUUGCUCUGCCAGACGUUCAUAACAUCUGGUGUUGCUCCAGCAGCAGGCCUGGCACCCAGCGGUGCUUCCAGGACGUAAUUCUUCUGUGCAGCAAUGAGGAUAAUCCUCAAGUUACGGACCCAGUCCGUGUAAUUGCUACCAUCAUCUUUCAACUUUGCUUUCUCAAGGAACGCAUUAAAAUUCAACGGAACAACAGCACGGGCCAUCUAUCUACAAUCAAACAUACAUAAGCAAGAUACUAUUAGGUACUAAGUUCAUGAUAAAUUUAGGUUCGAUUAAUCAUAUUACUUAAGAACUCCCACUUAGAUAGGCAUCCCUCUAAUCCUGUAAGUGAUUACGUGAUCCAAAUCAACUAAACCAUGUCCGAUCAUCACGUGAGAUGGAGUAGUUUCAUUGGUGAACAUCACUAUGUUGAUCAUAUCUACUAUAUGAUUCAUGCUCGACCUUUCGGUCUCUGUGUUCCGAGGCCAUAUCUGUAUAUGCUUGGCUCGUCAAGUAUAACCUGAGUAUUCCGCGUGUGCAACUGUUUUACACCCGUUGUAUUUGAACGUAGAGCCUAUCACACCCGAUCAUCACGUGGUGUCUCAGCACGAAGAACUUUCGCAACGGUGCAUACUCAGGGAGAACACUUCUUGAUAAUUUGGUGAGAGAUCAUCUUAUAAUGCUACCGUCAAUCAAAGCAAGAUAAGAUGCAUAAAAGAUAAACAUCACAUGCAAUCAAUAUAAGUGAUAUGAUAUGGCCAUCAUCAUCUUGUGCCUGUGAUCUCCAUCUCCGAAGCACCAUCAUGAUCACCAUCGUCACCGGCACGACACCUUGAUCUCCAUCGUAGUAUCGUUGUCGUCUCGCCAAUCUUAUGCUUCCACGACUAUCGCUACCGCUUAGUGAUAAAGUAAAGCAUUACAGCGCGAUUGCAUUGCAUACAAUAAAGCGACAACCAUAUGGCUCCUGCCAGUUGCCGAUAACUCGGUUACAAAACAUGAUCAUCUCAUACAAUAAAAUUUAGCAUCAUGUCUUGACCAUAUCACAUCACAACAUGGCCUGCAAAAACAAGUUAGACGUCCUCUACUUUGUUGUUGCAAGUUUUACGUGGCUGCUACGGGCUUAAGCAACAACCAAUCUUACCUACGCAUCAAAACCACAAUGAUAGUUUGUCAAGUUGGUGUUGUUUUAACCUUCGCAAGGACCGGGCGUAGCCACAUUCGGUUCAACUAAAGUUGGAGAAACUGUCACCCGCAAGCCACCUAUGUGCAAAGCACAUCGGGAGGACCGGUCUCGCGUAAGCGUACGCGUAAUGUCGGUCCGGGCCGCUUCGUCCAACAAUACCGCCGAACCAAAGUAUGACAUGCUGGUAAGCAGUAUGACUUAUAUCGCCCACAACUCACUUGUGUUCUACUCGUGCAUAUAACAUCAACACAUAAAACCUAGGCUCGGAUGCCACUGUUGGGGAAUGUAGUAAUUUCAAAAAAUUUCCUACGCACACGCAAGAUCAUGGUGAUGCAUAGCAACGAGAGGGGAGAGUGUGAUCUACAUACCCUUGUAGAUCGACAACGGAAGCGUUAACUUGGUUGAUGUAGUCGUACGUCUUCACGGCCCGACCGAUCAAGUAUCGAAACUAUGGCACCUCCGAGUUCUAGCACACGUUCAGCUCGAUGACGAUCCCCGGACUCCGAUCCAGCAAAGUGUCUGGGAAGAGUUCCGUCAGCACGACGGCGUGGUGACGAUCUUGAUGUAUUAAUGUCGCAGGGCUUCGCCUAAGCACCGCUACAAUAUUAUCGAGGACUAUGGUGGAAGGGGGCACCGCACACGGCUAAGAAUAUGAUCACGUGGAUCAACUUGUGUCUCUAGGGGUGCCCCUGCCUCCGUAUAUAAAGGCUCAAAGGGGGGGGGUGCGGCCGACCAGGAGAGGCGCUCCAGGAGGAGUCCUGCCUCCGGGAGUAGGACUCCCCCCUUUCCUAGUUGGAAUAGGAUUCGCGGAGGAGAGAGAGGAGGAAGGGGGCCCGGCCCCAUCUCUUGUCCUAUUCCGACCAAGGGAGGGGAGGGGCGCGCGGCCCAUCUCUGGCUACCUCUUCUCUCUUCCACUAAGGCCCACUAAGGCCCAUAUAACUCCCGGGGGGUUCCGGUAACCUCCCGGUACUCCGGUAAAAUCCCGAUUUCACCCGGAACACUUCCGAUAUCCAAACAUAGGCUUCCAAUAUACCAAUCUUUAUGUCUCGACCAUUUCGAGACUCCUCGUCAUGUCCGUGAUCACAUCCGGGACUCCGAACAACCUUCGGUACAUCAAAACGCAUAAACUCAUAAUAUAACUGUCAUCAAAAUCUUAAGCGUGCGGACCCUACGGGUUCGAGAACAAUGUAGACAUGACCGAGACACGUCUCCGGUCAAUAACCAAUAGCGGUACCUGGAUGCCUAUAUUGGUUCCUACAUAUUCUACGAAGAUCUUUUAUCGGUCAGACCGCGUAACAACAUACGUUGUUCCCUUUGUCAUCGGUAUGUUACUUGCCCGAGAUUCGAUCGUCGGUAUCCAAUACCUAGUUCAAUCUCGUUACCGGCAAGUCUCUUUACUCGUUCUGUAAUACAUUAUCCCGUAACUAACUCAUUAGUUGCAAUGCUUGCAAGGCUUAAGUGAUGUGCAUUACCGAGAGGGCCCAGAGAUACCUCUCCGACGAUCGGAGUGACAAAUCCUAAUCUCGAAAUACGUCAACCCAACAUGUACCUUUGGAGACACCUGUAGAGCACCUUUAUAAUCACCCAGUUACGUUGCGACGUUUGGUAGCACACAAAGUGUUCCUCCGGCACACGGGGGUUACAUAACCUCAUAGUCACAGGAACAUGUAUAAGUCAUGAAGAAAGCAAUAGCAACAUACUAAAUGAUCGGGUGCUAAGCUAAUGGAAUGGGUCAUGUCAAUCAGAUCAUUCAACUAAUGAUGUGAUCCCGUUAAUCAAAUACCAACUCUUUGUCCAUGGUUAGGAAACAUAACCAUCUUUGAUUAACGAGCUAGUCAAGUAGAGGCAUACUAGUGACACUCUGUUUGUCUAUGUAUUCACACAUGUAUUAUGUUUCCGGUUAAUACAAUUCUAGCAUGAAUAAUAAACUUUUAUCAUGAUAUAAGGAAAUAAAUAAUAAUUUAUUAUUGCCUCUAGGGCAUAUUUCCUUCAACCCCCUCGUAGGAAGAUGCAAAUUUUAUUUUACUCUAUACUCCUUCAUUUCAAGUUACUUGUCACCCUCAUCUUUAGAUACAUCCAUUUUUACCCAUUUCACAAGUAAUUCAGGCGAGUUAUUUGUCACCCCAUUCCUAGAUACAACCAUUUCACAAGUAAUUUGGAACGGAGGGUGUUAAAAGGUGCUAAAAUGUAGUAAAAUUUAAAAGUGCUCAAAUAUUGGCACGCUGCUGUAGGAUGUGCCUAUAACGCGAUCGAACCAGGUGCAGGCAUUUUGGAACGUUCAUCCAAUCGGGUAAAACUGCAAGAGAACACGUAAUCUCGUGAAGAAUGAUCGCCCGCUCAAAUAUUUCAUCAGAGACGUCACAGCUCGAGUACCAACAGCACAAGAAGGUGGCACACCAACCCAACGACUGGUCCGUAAACCCCCGCGGUGCCCUCGUCCAGCGCGGCCGUCCCGUUGGUGCUCCCCCGUCCCACGCACGGCGGCGCCCUGAGGUAGCUCGCCUGCAGCCCGCUGUACCUGCCCUGGCCGACGCACAGCUCCUCGUUGCCGCGCACGUCGAGCCGCCUGCCGAGCCGCGCCACGAACUCGACCGGCAGGGCGAUCUCCCCGGCGAGCCGGUUCUGGCUCAGGUUGAGCUGCCCCAGGUGCGGUAGCGCGCCGAGGCUCGCCGGGAUCGGCCCGUCCAGCCGGUUCCGGUCCAGCGACAGCGCCAUCAGGCUCCCCAGCGCCGCGAACGCGCCCCGCGGGAUCGGCCCCGUCAGGUUGCAUCCCGACAGGCCCAGCACCUGGAGCCGACGCAACGACCCGACCACCGCCGGCACCGCCGUGCCGAUGGGGUUGUCCUGCAGGAGCAGGUACUGCAGCUUCGCCAGCCCGGCAAGCGAGGCUGGCAGCGGGCCCGCCAGCCCGUUGUGGCUCAGGUCCAGGAACACCAGCUCCUUCAGAGAGCCGAUCUCCGGUGGCACCACGCCGGCCAGCCGGUUGUAGCUCAGGUCCGCCUUCUGCAGCAUCUUCAGGCCACCCAACGCCGCCGGCACGCCGCCGCCGAUGCUGUUCCAGCUCAGGUCCAGGAUGGACAGGCUUGCCAUCCCUCCAAUCUCCUCCGGUAUCUGCUAGUACGUGUCAGUGUCACGAAUCACGGCAUGCACAUUCAUAACGAAGUUAAGGGCGCACGUGAGGUCGACGCACGUACCUCGCCGGUGAUGUUGUUGUAGCUGAGGUCGAGCUGCUGCAACGCGGCGAGGCCGCCGAGCUCCCUGGGGAUCUCGCCGUGGAAGCCGUUCUGGGACAGGCUAAGCACUUGCAGGCUCUUCAGGUUGGUCAAGGUUGCCGGUAUCCGGCCGGUGAGGCCCGGGUUGGACUUGAGGACGAGCUGCUCGAGGGAGGAGGCGUUGGUGAAGAGCGCCGGCGGCAGCUCGACGGGGCCGGCGUCAACGAAGCAGCCGAAGAGGGAAAGGGUCCUGAGGUGGGGCAGGCCAAGGAUCGCGGGGGCGGCGAGCCUGGCGCCGGGCCUGCACGGCGGGGUGGAGACGUCGGGGCCGAAGUGGAGGCGGGUGGAGCGGAGGCGGGUGCUGUCGUCGGGGGCGAGCUCGCACUGGAGGCCCGGCCAGGGCGUGUCCGUGCAGGGCCGCGGGUGGAGCUGCGGCCACGUCGGGUCGCCGAGGAGGUCGGCCAUCACCCUGAAGAUGGCCGCCAGCUCCGACCGCGGCAGCUGCGCCGGCGCGUCUCCCGCUGUGGCCACGCCGACGCUCACCGCCACGGCUUGGAUCAGGAGGAUGGAGACGCCGGCCGAGAGGAGGGAAGAAGGAGAAGAAGAAGCCAUUUUCCAAGUACGCAGUGGGGUAUAGUGCAAAGGAGAUAGACUGAUAGAAUAGAAUAGGUCUCCGCAUCUGGAUGCUCUAGCUACCUGCUUUAUGGGCUUUGAGACUGUGAUAAGACACACGCACUCUGACAGCCUUUCACACAUAGUACAUGGUGAAAAAUUAAAAAGGGCUGAAGUUCAUUUACUGCUACCCGAAAAUAUUGCGAACAUAGUCUGACAGGCAACAAUGUCAUCAACAAAGAACCAUGCUCGCGUCAAAACAAAAAAAAUGCGCUCUCUACUUUCACCACACAGAAAAACAUAGCCAGUGCCUAGGCAUUCCCCGCCGUCCGCAAACCCACACCCGCUUGUGAUGCGUUUGGUUCCCGGGAUAGCCCAGCGAGGACAGGGAUAGCCCAGUUUUUUUAGGGAUACCAGGCGUUUGGUUCAUGGGCGAGAAAGGAUAUGGAUAGCCAGAUUCCUGGAAUAUUCGUUGAAAAUCCGGCUCCGCACGUACGGGAGAUUCUCGCGGAUAUGGGCAACCACGGAGCUCGCGAAUCGUUUUCUUCGCUGCAUCUCACCCUUUGCCUGAAACAGAAGCUCCUCGAGCACCUCGCGUGCCUCUCAACUCGGCUCGAUCUGUGCCCCAAGCGACGAGGCCGCCGGCGAAGGCGCCUGAGGAGGGCGAGCGUCGGCGCCGUUGGCCGGCGUUUGACCGUUUGAGUAGGCAACGCUGCUAUUGCUCGAGGAGAGAGCGGCUGUAGACAAAGGCGAGGGUGAGCGACCGAAGCUUGACGAGGGCGUCGUUUGUGCUGUGUGUACCGUGUAUGAAUGGAUGCGUGGUGUGCAUGCUGCUGUGUACUGUACAGACGCAUGGUCUGCGUGCUGCUGUGUACUGAUUAGUUGGGUAUGUUCUGUUGCAAAUUCGUGUGCACUAAUCCUAUCCUGCUACAGAAGAUUUCGUGGUAACAGGGAGUACAAACUUGACGCAGCACCUUCUAUUCUUGAUUUCUCUUCAAAACCAAAGACUUUACUGGCUAUCCACAAUAUUUUAUCCUUCAAACCAAACAAAAUAUGGGCUAACUAUACCCACGCCCGACCAAACAAAAAAAUGGCUAUCAUAGCCAGCUAGUUGGGGAUACCUAUAGCCACCCUAGAUUGUCCCUUAAACCAAAUACAUCCUUGAACUACGUCGUUGUCCAUCUAGGAAUAGCCUACACACCCUUAUUGACACUGUCCACGGCGAACCGCGUCCCAGAUUUUCGAGCAAAUGCCAUUGAGUUUUUUUUUAACUUUUUGUUGUUUUCUAGAGAAGCUCAAUAUGAAGGGAUACUCAGUAAUUGAGGAUGAGUUGUUGUGUGAUACGUGAUUGAUCGUUUUUAUGGACUUUGUAGCAUGAACAGAGGCCGUUUCUAUGGACUUUGUAGCAUGAACAAAGGCCGUUUAUAUGGACUUUGUAGCCUGAACAAAGGCCUGACCUUUUGGCAAAGUUUGCAUGCUUCGUUUCAUGAACGAAAGAACUUCAAGCCCUACGACAUGCACGUCAUUCAUACGCGCAAUGUGAAGUCACUAACGCAUCAGUGGUACACCAUUUGCAGCUCCGUCAUAAAAUUUUGUUGUACGAUUUACCAAGUGGAGUUAAGAUGGCCAUUGGGCUCGUCAACCAUGGAGAUAGUAAGUGUUGCUUCCUGUUACUCUACACAUUGAUUAAUUCAUCUAUUCACUCAGUGUUAUUGUACAUGUUGUAUAGCCAUGUACUACGGCAUCGAGUGCAGGCCAUUCACCCACAUACAUUGUUCGAUAAAUCUUAAGGGGCAGUUUAUGUGAGACAAUGGCCCUAUUUGGUUCAGCUUUUAUCGACGGAUUCCGCUGCCGCGCAGCAGAAUCUGAACCAGAGGGGAACCAGCAGAAUCCGAUUCCAGAAAUCCGCUGCCAAAAUCUGAAGCAAAAACGGAACCAGCCCAGGACGUGCUUUCCAAAAUUUGAUUCCGCCGCGGGCCAAAAUCUAAAAAAGUUGUAUCAGCUGGUUUGCCAAAUGACGUACAUCUUUUUCACAUCAGAUUCUCCACAUCUGUUUUUCCACGGCAGAUUUUUCACAGUUGCUUUUAGAAAUCCACAGCCGAAUCAAACAGGGCCAAUAUGUGUCGGGCUCUAGUUCCAUUGAAUUUGGAAUUGAUUAUUCAAAAAACUUGUUUAACAUCUAGUUAUCUCGUUGAUUUUGAACUUAUUACACUAGAGAUAUUUGCACGAAUGAAUUGUGAUAUUUUCUAUAAUUACUUUCAGGCUUGGUUUAGUUAAGCAGACGAAAUAUCAUUUGUUUAUGUAAAUUAUGUCCGAGCUUUGCCAAAUUCCGUCGUAUUUGAUGAAACCCGUUUGAUUUGUUAAAGUUCGAUUAGAAAUGGAUGCGAACAUGGUUGGAUGAUCGGGUCCCGCACUAGUGCUCGUGGAUUGGUCCGAUCAAUACACAAACGGAUACGGUGUCCAAUUUAAAUGUCAGCGUUGAAGAUUCCCUUAUCUCACGUUAGUAUAUUUUGAAUGGAAGCGUACGCAUUUGAAGAGCGAGGUCAGCUUAAUUGCAAAAUGAUGACCCUCGGGAUGACCUGCUUCUUGAAGUACACACACUUCUAUUUAGAAUAUACUAACGCGAGACAGAGUUUGAAAUGCAAGGAUUCAUCGCAAUCAACGAUGGGGGUCGACAACCACUUGUUCUUGUGAGCUUUCUUCAUGUAAGUGAGCUUUUCUCUCAUCAUGAUAAUGUGAUUGCUGAUAUUUUUACACUCAUUUUACCAUUGUUUAAACCAGGUAAUUCCGGAUUUUUUGAGAGGAUCACUCCGAUAUCACUAUUAAUGACUAAUAAAUGAAAGAAGUUGUAAAAUACUUUGUUUAAUGCGUUUUCACAUAAAAUUGGCUCAAACAUGGAAGAAUGUCAUCACAGCAAAGAAAGAAAUAUGAAGUUUGGUGAAGAAGACAAGUCAAUAGGAGGCACUACAACCAAUUCAGAACGCAAAACGCCGCAUGGUAGGAGGCUACGAGCACACGCGCUUAUACGAGUGGUCAUACCGCACGAUGUCGGCACCAACGCGUCCGCCUGAAAAUUUUCUAUAAAAGAGGCAACGUCAGAAUCUCAACAAAAGAGCCAACAUUCACGAAACACAUAACAAAAAGCCAUCUCCAACCCUAGCUGCCGUCAAUUCCCACCUCAUCUCCAUAGUCGCCGCCACCAUCAUCACCGCCGCCAUUCUCUCCAUGUUAUUCAUACUUGUAAUCGGUGUAUAGCAAUCGGUAACUAUUGUAAGACAUAUUAUCGAUCAAUCAUUUAUCUUUAUGUCGUCUUCAAUGAGUCCAUCUUGUGAUCUGAUCGCCAUGUGUGAGUAAUUCGAUAAGGCAAUAGGUUGAGCAUGGCCUUGCAACCCUAUAUAUUUGUGCAUGGGGUCGUUGGAAUCUUUGUGUAUUUCACAUUAUUUGUAUGUGUUCGAUUGCAACAACAUUCGUUCUGAGGUCCCGCGGGUACCCAGGAUCUCGUAGAUCAAUCAAGGAGGAGAUAAGAAGCAAGGAUGCUUGGAAUGCUAUUCUGAACAACACUGGAGAAAGGAUUAGUAUGAUAGUGAAAAGAAACUCCUUGGGGAUAAAUCACAUGUAAUCAUUAAACACCCAAUGAUCUUGUCUGAAGUAAUUCUUAAUCAAGGUAACCCUACGCGACGGGAAGGGCCAUUGGUUGGACAAGUGACUCUUGAUGCAUGACGUGAGUAGUCGUGACGUACUAUGCACACAUUCCACAUUUCAUCGUGUUGUAAGCACAUCAUAACGGCUGUCUUCCAGAGCUAUGUUUAUUGUCAAGACUAGAUGACACGUUCCGCCAUUCGCGCAAAGACUAACUCUAGCCAAGAAGUUAAGCAAGCUAUAGGCAGUAUAUUUAACAGAUGUUUGUUUUAUAAAUUUGUUGGAAACGUAGUGUGCAAUUUCAAAAAAAAGUCCUACGCUCACAUAAGAUCUAUCUAGGAGAUGCAUAGCAACGAGAGGCGGAGAGUGUGUCUACGUACCCUCAUAGACUGAAAGCGAAAACGUUUGACAACACAGUAGAUGUAGUCGAACUUCUUCUCGUUCCCACCGAUCAAGUACCGAACGUACGACACCUCCGAGUUCUGCGCACGUUCAGCUCGAUGACGUCCCUCGAACUCUUGAUCCAGCAAAGUGUCGAGGAAGUAGAUGAGUUCGGUCAGCACGAUGGCAUGAUGGCGGUGAUGGUGAAGUGAUUCUCACAGGGCUUCGCCUAAGCACCACAAAACUAUUACCGGGGGUGUAAACUGUGGAGGGGGGCGCCACACAUGGUUAGGCAAUUGUCUGGUCUGUGCUAGGUGCCCCCUCCUCAUAUAUAUAGGUGGGAGGGAGGGAGGAACAGCCAUAGGAGGCGCUCCCUCCCAAGCUGCGCGCGCCCCGUGCCAUAUCUAACCGAGGGGCACGGAAAGAGGGGGGAGGAAGUAGGAAUCCUAAUCCACAUUUUCCUUGCCCUCCCCUCUUUCCUUCUCCUCCUCAUAGGUCUGGCCUCUGUAGGGGUGCACCAGGGCUGGUGUGUUCCUUCACUUGGCCCAUAAGGCCCAUAUCUUUGCCGGGGGUGCCCAAAACUCCUUUCCAGUGACCAGAUAAGUACCUGGUACCCUCCGAAACACUUCCGGUGUCUGAAUACCAUCGUCCUAUAUAUCAAUAUUUACCUUUCGACCAUUUUGAGACUCCUCGUCAUGUCCGUGAUCUCAUCUAGGACUCCGAGAAACAUUAGGUCACCAAAUCACAUAACUCAUAUAAUACUAUAUCGCCAACGAAUGUUAAGCAUGCGGACCCUAUGGGUUCGAGAACUAUGUAGACAUGAACGAGACACCUCUCCAGUCAACAACCAAUAGCGGAGCCUGGAUGCUCAUAUUUGCUCCUACAUAUUCUACGAAGAUCUUUAUCAGUCGAACCGUUAUGGCAACAUACGUAAUUUCCUUUGUGCAUCGGUAUGUUACUUGCCCGAGAUUUGAUCGUCGGUAUCUUCAUACCUAGUUCAAUCUCGUUAUCGGCAAGUCUCUUUACUCGUUCCCUAAUACAUCACCUCGUGACUAACUCCUUAGUCGUUUGCUUGCAAGCUUAUGAUGUGUAUUGCCGAGAGGGCCCAGAGAUACCUCUCCGAUACUCGGAGUGACAACUCCUAAUCUCGAUCUGUGCCAACUCAACAAAUACCUUCAGAGAUACCUGUAGAGCAUCUUUAUGAUCACACAGUUACGUGUGACGUCUGAUAGCACACAAGGCAUCCCUCCGGUAUCCGGGACUGGCAUAAUCUCAUAGUCGAAGGAACAUCUAUUUGACAUGAAGAAAGCAAUAGCAAUAAAACUGAACAAUCAUUAUGCUAAGCUAACAGAUGGGUCUUUUCCAUCGCAUCAUUCUGCUAAUGAUGUGAUCCCGUUAUCAAAUGACAACUCAGGUCCAUGGUUAGGAAAUCUUAACCAUCUUUGAUCAACGAGCUAGUCUAGUAGAGGCUCACUAGGGACACGGUGUUUGUUUAUGUAUUCCCACAUGUAUUUAGGUUUCCAAUCAAUACAAUUCUAGCAUGAAUAAUAAACCUUUAUCAUGAAUAAGUAAAUAUAAAAUAACAACUUUAUUAUUGCCUCUAGGGCAUAUUUCCUUCAAAAUUAUCCUCAAAGGGUGUUAGCAUGAAUAAGAAUACAUAUGGUAAUGAACACCAAGAAGUAACAGACAUGCUAGUAAACAUGGAUAACAUAUGGCAAUAAGCCCUAAUCUAGAGUUCGUUCGAGGCUCCGGAGAGAGGGAUCCGUUGCCGUCAUCAUCACCAAUCCUUCUUCAUCAACAAUUGCAUGAUGCUCAUCAUCAUUAGUGAGUAAUUUCUUUGUAGGCAUACUAGAGGUAGAUGGAGAUGGAUGAGAUUUAUUAUGUAAUCGAGACAAUUUGUUAGGGCUUGAUCCCUAAUAUCCAUUAUGUUCCGAAAUUGAUGUUGCGAUGACUUUGCUAUGCUUAAUGCUUGUCACUAGGGUUCGAGUGUCAUGAUUUCAGAUCUGAACACUUAUGCUUUUCAUGACUAUAUUUGAGAUGUUGAUCUUAAUUGCAAGUUGUAUGCACCUUUCAUCGUUCUGAACCCUAGACCCCUAAGGUGACAAUAAUUGGGAUAUUAACGGGGAUGACUUUGACUUGUGGAGUUCAUGUAUUCACUGUGUGUUAAUGCUUUUUUCGGGUUCUCUAUUAAAAGGAGCACUUUUUUGCCAUCAUUUAUUAAAGAGAGCGCCUUAAUUACUCUUAGUUUACAUUAGGACCCGCUACCACAUAAGGGUAGGGUAAAAGAUGGCAUGUAUGUACUUACCGUAAGCACAUAUGACUAUAUACGGAAUACAUGCGUACAUAUGAUUGAUGAAUUUGAGCUAUUGUGUGUCACUCCAUGUUGUGACUGUUACAUAAUGAAUUUCAUCUAAAUAUCCAUCGCUACUUUAUGCCUACUCUUUAAUAUUAUUGUCUUUGCUCAAGUUACUGUUACUGCUGCUACUUUAUUGCUACCAAACUACUACCACUUUCACUGCUACUGUUAUCAUUACUAUUGUUAUCACUACUAUCAUAUUAUUGUGCUACUAAUAAACUACUGCAAGUAAGUGAUUCUCAGGUGUGGUUGAAUUGACAACUCAACUACUAGGGCUUAUAAAUAUUCUUUGGCUCCCUUGUAUUGAAUCAAUAAAUUUGGGUGGAAUGCUGCCCUCGAAGACUAUUGUGAUCCUCUAUACUUGUGGGUCAUCAGUGGACGUGCUAGUCGUGGACGUGGUGGAGGUCGCGGAGCCCCGAUGGUGUUUCCCACCGUCUAGACGCCGCCAUGGCCGGGGCAUUAGAAAGCUCCAUACUACUACGCCGCCAAGUAGCGCAGUAGGCAGUCCACGGCAACCGCCGCCAGGCAAGUGCCUUACAUCAUCGACGUUGUCGGUGUUUUGGAAAUGGGGGUCCCCAGACUUGCCUGCCUGCAGCCCAUGGCAUGGCGCUGCAAGCGGGCCCGUACGACCCAUCCUCACCAAUAAGCACUCAAGACCCUCAUGAGGCGGACGAGACAAGACCUCCUUAGGAGCGGCCUCACCAGGCUGGCUCGCGAGGGGUGGAGAGUUCAAGGCAAGGCAAACCUCGCGAGGUUCCAAUAACGUGAGCCAUGAUGACCAAGGUCAGGCGGGCGCCAGCGCACACAGUGUUUUUGUUUCCUCUUUGGUGCUAAGGAGGCAAGCGCAGACACAGAGUACCGAGGCGUCAAGCAAAGGUUUCCAUAUUGGUGCAACGAGACCAAGACCAGAAGGACGGCAAGAAGGAGGUCACCGUGGAGCCCAAGACGGCGUCACCACCAGAGCCUUUGGCAGGCGAAUACUGCUUUUGUCAGGAUAAGCUGUACUAGAUGUCCCCUUUCGAAUUGGCCAUUGUUGGCUCCCUUCCCGCUCAAUAUUUGGGGAGAGGACCAGGGCCUCUAUAAAUAGGAUUAGCCACCGCAGUAGGAGGAAACUAAUCUCGGAGAGACUGGAACGACCACAAGUUCAUCGAGCACAAAAACGCCUCUCCUCAGGAGGCUUUCUUCCCCUUGUACUGUUCAUCCUCAGCCCAAGAGGCAAUCCACCACACCACACCGGAGUAGGGUAUUACAGCACAACAGUGGCCCGAACCAGUAUAAAUCUUGUCUCCUUUGUGUUGCGAGUUCGUCGAGUUAGUCCCUGAGAUCUUAGAAAAGUUAGGACAUGGAUCGGUAGGGGGAGAUCUUCGCGCGCACCCCAGUGUUUGAACCUUGAGGGUUUUGCCGGAACCUGUGAUCCGACAUUUGGCGCGCUAGGUAAGGGUGCGCCGAAACUUCCCUUCCGUUGCCUCGCGUCCCGUUGUCUCAUAUUCUCCAUGGCAGACGCUCGCCGCGCUCGCGCUGAGCGCCGGGCUGCCCUCGCCGCCCGCGUUGCUCAGACGGCUCCCAUCGGCGGGCCACCCCGUCGUUCUCCGCCGCCUGCCGCCAACGCCGCCACCGGCCCGGCGGGGAACGAGCAGCAAGCAUCCUCGCUAGACCCCUCGGUGCGGCGGGACAGCCGCACCUUCACUCCAUCGCUGACCCCGGCCGGUUCGUCAUCCCAUGCUCGUCGCGCUCCCGUGGACGUGCAAGCCGCUCUAUACACAGCGCGCGAGCUCCUGCGCUACCGCUCCGUCGACGACCUCUACGAGGACUGGCUCGACCGCAUCGUCAAGCUUGUCAGCGCCGCAGGGGGCUCCCCUGGGCCGUCCCUCUCACUGCCUCGCCCUCCGCCAGCCGCGGGCGGCGUGGCCCAUGGAGCGCCUCCACCACCUCUGCCCUAAGAUGGAGUCUUGGCGCCCAGGCGCGCGGCCCCAUGGUGCGACCUGCCGCGUCCGGCGCCCGCGCAAGAAGAAAGAAGCUGCCAAGAAGUCCCUCGGCCGCGAGAAAACGCCCCCGCGCUCCCUGCGCCACCACGGCAAGACCGCGUGCCGCCUGUAGUGGCGGUGCAUGGACCCCAUCAAGGAAAAGUUCUCCACCAGCGCAGAGUCCCGAUGACCAUGGCAGGCUGCCGCGCCUUCACGCCUGAGGUGCGUAGCGUUGCUUGGCCAGUCAAGUUCAAGCCGGAUCUGCCUCCUCGCUAUGACGGCACCCGACCCCGCGGAGUUCCUGUAGCUCUACGAGAUGAGCAUCGAGGCGGCCAACGGCGACGAGAAAGCCAUGGCGAACUGGUUCCCCAUGGCUCUCAGGGAUGGUGCCCACUCCUGGCUCCUGAAUCUGCCUCCAGGCUCGAUCUCCUCUUGGAACGAGAUGCACGACCGUUUUGUUGCCAACUUCCAGGGCACUCGCGACCGCCCGCCGGUUGCGGGUGACCUACGCCGUGUCAAGCAACAACCACGAGAGACCCUCCAGAAGUACAUCCAGCGCUUCAACAAUGUUUACCUCAAGAUCCCUAAGGUGAUGGACGAGGCCAUCAUCACCGCGUUCUCCGAUGGCAUCCGCGACGUCAAGAUGAAGGAGGAGCUCGCCAUCCACGAGGAGUUGUGCACGUCCCUGGAGCUAUUCAACCUGGAAACCAAGUGCGCAAGAGCUGAGAAGGGGCGCUUCUCCCUCCUCGAGCUCCCGGCUGCGAACCCGGAGGAGAAGAAAGCCAAGGCCAAAGACGUGAAGCGCAAGGGACCAGCCAUGCUCGCGGCGGAGCUGGACACCAAGCGCGGCAGGGACCAACCUAAGUCAUCCAAGGGCAGCCGACCGUUCUGCACCUUCCAUAACCUGCAUAGCCACAACACCAAUGACUGUCAAGAGCUCAGAGCCAUUUGAGAAGGAUGCCUCGGUCGACGCCCCGAGUGCCACGACCGGGGCUACGGACAAGGAGGAGGACGUGGUGGCGGACGCUGGGAUGAUCGUGGCCCGCGUCAGGAGUGGCGCGACCGGCCUCGUGAGGACCGCUGGCAGGACCAGCCUCGCGAAGGUGCCUGGAGGGAUCAACCUCGCAAGGAUCGUCCUCAGGGCAAUGCUGGGCUUCAUCCACUGCCGCCAUCAAGAAGAAACGACGAACACCACCAAGACGAGGGGGCUGGGGGCUUCCAGGAACCGCGUGCUAUCGCUUGCAUCUUGGGCGGAGCUCAAGCCCCAGCCUCACAACGUAUUUUCAAAUAGUUCGCUCGCGAGGUGAACGCAAUCCUUCCCAAGCUCGAGGCCAUGCGCCCGCUCAGGUCGUCCAAGUGUGCCAUUACCUUCAGCUCAGCAGAUCAGCUCAAGUGCGCGGCCACCGCCGGCGUCCUCCCAAUGCUUUGUUCACCCGUCAUCAGCAACGUGCAAGUCACCAAGACCCUCAUCGAUGGCGGCGCAGGGCUCAACAUCCUGUCCGUCGAGACGUUCGACAACCUCCAAGUGCCGUAUGAUCAGAUUCAGCCCACCAAGCCUUUCUUAGGAGUGACCGACGGCUCCACCAUGCCGAUAGGACAGGUUCGCCUCCCAGUCUCCUUCGGAAAAUGCAACAACUACCACAUCGAGCUCAUCGACUUUGACGUCGCCCACAUUCGUCUGCCGUACAAUGCCAUCCUCGGGUAUUCGGCCCUGUCCAAGUUCAUGGCAGUGACGUACCACGGCUACAACGUCCUCAAGAUGCCAGGAAGCGGCGGGAUUAUCACAGUCCCCUAUGAAGAAAGAGAUGCGGUGUGCUCCCUCGAGCGCGCCUUCCAAGUAGCGUCAAUCGAAGACCCCAACAACAAUGCAGCUCGGUACCCUCCUGAGGAUGUCCCCAAGAAGAAGAAGCAGCUACUCCGUGCCGGACCUCAGGAGGGCAGCGCAGCAAGUGGCACCCUGUCAGGAUCAGCGCCCGCACCUGGGACGCCUCCCUCCAUCGCAUAGGAAGGCGGGCCCGGCGCCCUCCUUGGGCACGGCUCGGGGGCUCUCUUCUGGAGGGCCUCAGACCUUGCUAACGUCACGAGGGAGGUGCUCGGGCACCAUUUGCAGGUGUGCUUCGCGGUAUGUCUCCCUCAGGAGGACACUGGGCAAGGAGUGCUCGGCGCUCAGGAGUUCGUCACCAAGGUAUCUCAAGAGCUUGAGGAAGCAAGAGCAAUACGCGGCGACCGCCGCCCACCUGGUGUUGCUCCCCACCCAGGCGAGGGUGGUGAGCUGCCCGUCUACAUCGACAUCCCAGGGCUCAACCGAGCCGCAUCACAGGAGCGCUUCUGGCCUUCGCGUGUUGGGCACUGCGAAGGUCCACCUCACAGCUACGUUCACAUGUCCUUUGGCCUGCCGAGCGUGGCGUCUGCCUAUCAGUGCAACCUGCAGAGCAUCAUGGCGGGUCAGGAGGCCAGACACCAUGCAGUCGUAGAUGGACACGGUCCUCAAGGAACCGCCUGGACCCCCAGAGCCUCCCGUGGCCCAGGGCCCGGUGGCUCAUGAGGGGCAACCCCUUCGCCGCGUACCUUCAGCUGCCUCAACACCCCUUCAUGAACAGAACUAGGUGACAUUUUCCAAGUUCAUUUAGCUGGGAGCGCCCUCAGGGCUGCAUUAUUCCCAGGCCACGUGGGUCCGUCCAUAUGGCAUGUAUCCCUUCCUUUUUAUGUCUUUAGCUUGCUGGGGGCACCCCUUGGGCUGCAUCAUCCCCAAGCCGCUCGGGCCUGACCCAGUGGCACGUAUCGUUCAUACAUUUACCUGAGCUAGGUUUCCUUUCAUGCUUAAUCUAUCUAUGACUAUCACCUGCUUGAUUGUCGCCCAUCGCGGGAGCCGUGCGCCGGUCGUUUUUCUUCAGGACCCUUCGCGUGAGAGGGUUAGGCACGGCGUCUGCGCUCGGGCCCGUCCCUACAACGUAGAUAAAUCCAACGGUUGAUCUCUGUCUGGCGGGCCGGCCCCGUUCACGCACCUCCUUGGGCCGUUGGUGCUAGGCUUUCUCACGCGAUAACCUCAGGAGAUUCGUUCGGCGCAGGUUGUCUAACCAUCUCACAGGACCAACACAGCAAACAAGAAUCAAGACCAGGCGCAACCCGCCUUGAGGUAGGGCCUCGUGAGUCCCGCGCUGGCUCAUGAGUGCCCAGACACACCUCGUCUAUCCCUGUCGUGCAAGCCACAUGUUAGGGCGGGGUUGUACACGCCCCGGGGGCUCUCCACAGCAGGGAGUCCCCUCCCACGUACCAGAGGCGGAUCGGCAAUCACCACGGCGAUCGGCGCCCUUCCUCGCGCUAACUUGCAGGAACUUCCUGAAGGCUACAUCGGGCGGUACCGCGGACUCUCCCUCUUUUCUCAUGCGAUUCGCUUGCACGUUAAAAGGGGAGGCUCCUGAGCAUCGUGACUCAUGAGCUCUUACUGGAUCUCCAGCCCUCACCCCCUGGCCUUGACCAUGGCACGCGACCUGGCAUACCAGCGGCGGCUGAGUUCGCUCGAGGGCCGGGACCUGAGGAUGUAGAGCACCAGGAAGAACAUGGAGAGGAGGGGAGGCCCGCACAGGCCUGACCUAGCUACUCAGCAGCGGCCGACACCCGAGCCUGGCGUCUCGCGAGGACCAACCUCGGAUUGCCAAGAUAAGUUUCGCGCUCAGCUCAAUAAACUUCUACAGCAUAGAGUUGUCAUUUGUGUUGCCCCGCUGCGGCGACGUAGUCUCCCUCUCCUACCUCUCGGCGGUCGCUUGCGCGCCAAAGGGGACCUCCUAAGCAUCGCGUCUCAGGGGCUCUUACUGGACCUCAGGCCGCUCACCUCCUGGCCUUGACCAUGGCACGCAACCUGGCAUACCAGCGAUGGCUGAAGCCUGCCUGGGGACCGGGACCUGUCGGCGUAGAGCACCACGCCGUCGCGAGGUUGGAAAGGGGAAACCAAGCCGGAACGGAGCACGCAUACGCGCAACUUCAUAAUAGGGAUAAUAUCAACAAAGGACAUUACAAACGCCUUACAUGCCCCAGCGGGGUCCAUUUCUUGAUUCCUCACAGGGAACAAAAGGCAGGAACUUAGGGAAUCCUAACUACACAUGCCCCUGUGGAUGACAACAUCAUCAACAGUGGGCCAUCGGAGGCUGGCACCAACCUCAUCCAGAUCAGCAGCGACGGCGGCCUGACACGGCAGCCUUGCUCCGGGCGCGAUGGGAGCUCGGGGGCACGUAGCUGUCGUCGCUUGUCUCCGGAGACUCCACGAGCUCGGGAGAGUCGCUGGACCAACAGGAGUCGCUGUUGUCACUGGAGAAGCUGCAGGCGAGGCCUGUGGCAGGCCCAACGCCCGCCGCUGCGCCGUCCUGGUGACCUCCUUCAAGGCAGCACUCCAGGCGGCGGCCUUCCUCGUCAAAGACCUUGAAGAACAGCAUGGAGGCGCCGUCGUACUCGAAGUAUAUUGCGAGGCCGCCCUCCGCGCGGCAGACUCGGGCAAUCUCGCCCCACCCUCGGGUCAUGAAGAUCCUCCCGGAGGCGACGGCUUCAAUUUCUGCUCCAGUCGCCGGGGCAUCGCAGUCGGCGUGCUGCAGCCAGAGCUCAAGGGGCCCCCUCGGCUACAUCUCUGCAGAGAAGAAGGAAGGCAAGCGAAUCCAAGUGCUCGGGGGCAUCGCCGCCCACAACACGAACUCGCGCGAGGAGUCCGCGGCGUGGACCCCUGGGGCGACGGCGUGCGCCUCCGCCGCACGGUGGCCAAGGCCAUGGCGCAGGCGGCGGCGCUCAUCGUCCCUCCCUCCGGACUCAUCAGCGUGAGCAUACAAGGGCAAUGGGUACCUAGGAGGAGGCCUCUCAUACCAAGGCCGCGACACCACCGGCCUCACGACCAUCUCACGGUGAUGAGACCUCCUCUUCUUCGGCGGGAGCAGGUCGGGCUCGUUCAGGGGAGCCUUGCCCUUUUCUGUGGCCGAGAACCUCCGAAACGACGCCAUGACUGCACCAGCGAGAAGUGGAGCAAGAAAGGAGAAGAAGCAGGAGAGGCAGAGAAGAGAUGAGUGAUGGGGCUCCGCCCUCACCUCCCAUUUAUAGCCAAGGGGAGGCCAACCGCCGGCCUCCAUGAUCUAAGGUAAUAAUGAUGGUUUUUCCUUGCAUGUAGUAGGGACUUGUCAAGUCGGGCAGUUGCCGAGGCUGCAUGGGGAAGCGGAGACGCCCACGUCCAAUCAACCGCCACGUGUCGACCAAGGCCGCUGGCUAUUGGGGCCCGCGGCGCUACGCACUUGACCUUCGGCUUCGCCUCGAAGCCAAGCCCUAGCGCGCCUUGGGCCCGGGGGCUACUGUCGGCAUUCUGGGAACGGGGAUCCCCAGACUUGCCUGCCUACGGCCCACGGCGUGGCGCUGCAAGCGGGCCCGUACAACCCAUCUUCACCAACAAGCACUCAAGACCCUCGCGAGGGGCCAAGCCUCGCGAGUCGGACGACACAAGACCUCCUCAGGAGCGGCCUCACCAGGUUGGCUCGCGAGGGGCGGAGAGUUUAAGGCAAGGCAAACCUCGCGAGGUUCCAAUGACGUGAGCCAUGACGACCAAGGCCAGGCGGGCGCCAGCGCGCACAGUGUCCUUGUUUCCUCUUUGGUGAUAAGGAGGCAAGCGCAGACGCAGAGUACCGAGGCAUCAAGCAAAGGUUUCCAUAUCGGUGCAAUGAGACCAAGAUCAAAAGGAUGGCAAGACGGAGGUUAUCGUGGAGCCCAAGACGGCGUCACCACCAAAGCCUUUGGCAGGCGAAGACUGCUCUUGUCAGGAUAAGUUGUACUAGCUGUCCCCUUUCGAAUUGGCCGUUGUUGGCUCCCUUCCCGCUCAAUAUUUGGGGAGAGGACCAGGGCCUCUAUAAAUAGGAUUAGCCACCGCACUAGGAGGCAACUAGUCCCGGAGAAACCGGAACGACCACAAGUUCACCGAGCACAAGAACACCUCUCCUCAGGAGGUUGUUUUUCCCCUUGUAUUGUUCAUCCUCAGCCCAAGAGGCAAUCCACCACACCACACUGGAGUAGGGUAUUACACCACAACGAUGGCCCGAACCAGUAUAAAUCUUGUGUCCUUUGUGUUGCGAGUUCGUCAAGUUAGUCCCUGAGAUCUUAGCGAAGUUAGGACAUGGAUCGGUAGGGGGAGAUCUUCGCGCGCACCCCAGUGUUCGAACCUUGAGGGUUUUGCCGGAACCCGUGAUCCGACAGACGUAAAUGUGGCGCCCCUAAUCUUCUUGGAGUCUUCUUCGCCAUAGCUCAUCCAGGCACGGAUGGCGGGUUGGGAGCACAUGGGUGCCGACACAUUGUUCGCUGUUAUACCUAAAGCAGGGGAGAAGGCAUACCACGACGGGGAGAGGGAUAUGUUCAACAUCACACAUGAUGAAGGCAGAGGAGGAGGUGCUUCUGAGGACGGGUGGGUGAAAGACUCAAACCCCACCCGGUCUAGCAACUACACCCACACACAGCAGGGCUACACCCAAAUUGAUACGCAGUCCUACACCCAAACCGGCAUGGGUACACAGCAGCACGUUUGGGUCGCCGGACAGGCGGAGGAGGAGGACGACGAGGACGAUGGUCCGGAUGAUUUUGCUGGUGAUCCGAAGAAGAAGGAUAGAGGGGAAAGGUUCAACAUGCAGGAAGAUGAGCUAUUUGUGUGAUGCAUGGUUUCCACUAGCCUCAACCCGAUCCAUGGCAUGGAGCAAAAGGGCUCAACUUCUUGGGCUAACAUUCACACAUGGUUCCAUGAGGACAAGCAUUUCGCACCCUACUCCGACGCAGUCACCUGCAGUCAUGAAUCAAAGUCCCUCAACCAUCAAUGGUACACCAUCCAAGAGGCCGUGUUGAAAUAUUGUAGCCACUUGGCGCAUCUCAUUGCAUGGUGGCCUAGUGGUGCGCAAAUCACUGAGAAAGUAAGUUGAUUUGGCCGGAUAUGCAUAGUUUAGUUGAUCACUAGCCGGAUAUGCAUAGUUCAGUUGAUCACUAACAGGAUAUGCAUAGUUUUGUUGAUAACUAUAUGGAUAUGCAUAGUUUUGUUGAUCACUAGCCAGAUAUGCAUAGUAUUGUUGAUCAUUUGUCGGAUAUGCAUAGUUUUGUGGUUGGGCAUCCAUAGUUUUGUUGAUCAUUGGCCAGAUAUGCAUAGUUUUGUUGAUCACUAGCCGGAUAUGCAUAGUUUGGUGGUUGGAUAUGCAUAGUUUUGUUGAUCACUAGCCGGAUAUGCAUAGUCUUGUUGAUCACUAGCCGGAUAUGCAUAAUUUUGUGGCCGGAUAUGCAUAGUUUUGUUGACAAUGUUUUAUUUUGUAGCCUUCUCGUGCGUGUACGGUGUUCAAGAAGUUGGAGAAAAAAAAUCACCAUCAUGCAUUGUUGGUUGGAGUUGAAUGGGCAACCGAAAUGAAAUAUAUACAUAGCCAAGACCGCCGCCCAAGCCACCGAGAAAGAAACCAGUGACCCAACCGAUCCAACAAAAGAACCACCCAAGAAGGUUAGAAGAGGGUUUCGGGGAAAGAAGUGGGAGGAGGAGAGGGUGAAGCGAGAAGGUGCGGCGGUCAAGAUGACGGUGAGGUUUGAGAACAUAUUGUACAAGAAGGAGGAGGCAUACGUCAAGUGCUGCUACCUCUUGAGCACGGCGUUGGUUUUCCCCGAAGAGGAAGGGAUGAUGCAGCAAAGUAGCGUAAGUAUUUCCCUCAGUUUUUGACAACCAAGGUAUCAAUCCAGUAGGAGGCUACGCGCGAGUCCCUCGCACCUGCACAAAACAAAUAAAUCCUCGCAACCAACGCGAUAAGGGGUUGUCAAUCCCUACACGGCCACUUACGAGAGUGAGAUCUAAUAGAUAUGAAAAGAUAAUAUUUUUGGUAUUUUUGUGAUAAAGAUGCAAAGUAAAGUAAAAGAAAAGUAAAAAUCAAAGGAAACAACCAAGUAGUAGGAGAUUAAUAUGAUGAAGAUAGACCCGGGGGCCAUAGGUUUCACUAGUGGCUUAUCUCGAGAGCAUAAGUAUUCUACGGUGGGUGAACAAAUUACUGUUGAGAAAUUGAUAGAAUUGAGCAUAAUUAUAAGAAUAUCUAGGCAUGAUCAUGUAUAUAGGCAUCACAUCCGAGACAAGUAGACCGACUCCUGUCUGCAUCUACUACUAUUACUCCACUCAUCGACCGCUAUCUAGCAUGCAUCUAGAGUAUUAAGUUAAUGAAGACAGAGUAACGCCUUAAGCAAGAUGACAUGAUGUAGAGGGAUAAACUCAUGCAAUAUGAUGAAAACCCCAUAUUGUUAUCCUCGAUGGCAACAAUACAAUACGUGCCUUGCUGCCCCUACUGUCACUAGGAAAGGACACCGCAAGAUUGAACCCAAAGCUAAGCACUUCUCCCAUUGCAAGAAAGAUCAAUCUAGUAGGCCAAACCAAACUGAUAAUUCGAAGAGACUUGCAAAGAUAACCAAUCACACAUAAAAGAAUUCAGAGAAGAUUCAAAUAUUGUUCAUAGAUAAACUUGAUCAUAAACCCACAAUUCAUCGGUCUCAACAAACACACCGCAAAAAGAAGAUUACAUCGAAUAGAUCUCCAUAAGAGAGAGGGAGAACAUUGUAUUGAGAUCCAAAAAGAGAGAAGAAGCCAUCUAGCUACUAACUAUGGACCCGUAGGUCUGAGGUGAACUACUCACACUUCAUCGGAGGGGCUAUGGUGUUGAUGUAGAAGCCCUCCGUGAUCGAUGCCCCCUACGGCGGAGCUCCGGAACAGGCCCCAAGAUGGGAUCUCGUGGAUACAGAAAGUUGCGGCGGUGGAAUUAGGGUUUUGGAUCCGUUUCUGAUCGUUUGGGGGUACGUAGGUAUAUAUAGGAGGAAGGAGUACGUAGGUGGAGCAACAAGGGGCCCACGAGGGUGGAGGGCGCGCCUGGGGGGGGGUAGGCGCGCCCCCUACCUUGUGGCCUCCUCUUUUGUGUCUUGACGUAGGGUCCAAGUCUCCUGGGUCUUGUUCAUUGAGAAAAUCACGUUCCCAAAGGUUUCAUUCCGUUUGGACUCCGUUUGAUAUUCCUUUUCUUCGAAACCCUAAAACAGGCAAAAAACAAAAAAUCUGGGCUGGGCCUCCGGUUAAUAGGUUAGUCGCAAAAAUAAUAUAAAAGUGGAUAAUAAAGCCCAAUAAUGUCCAAAACAGUAGAUAAUAUAACAUGGAGCAAUCAAAAAUUAUAUAUAUGUUGGAGACGUAUCAAGUGCUCAGACAUCAAUGAGAAAAAAGGCGAAGAGGUUCAAACUGUUGAUGGAGGCAAUCGAGAAGAAGCUAGCACUCAAAGAGAAGAGGGCCAUGAACGAAGAGAACAAGGUCAUGCUCAAGGAGAAGAAGACGAUGCUCAAAGAAAAUAAGGUGACGGUCACAGCUGAUUUGGAGGACGCCAAGAUGGUGUCCUUCUAUUUAGAGUCUUUGGAUGCCAAUGCAAGGAUGAUCGUGCAAGCCGUCUGCUAGAAGAUGUUAUAGUGGUAGAAAGAUGAGUUGGAGGCGGCAGAUAAGAAGGAGGAAGAGGAGGCAACGACAGAGUAGCAACCAGAGGCUACAUACGUGGAGGCUUGGAUUGCCAGUCCGGUAGGGCAAAAAACUUAAGAAUAGUUGUCUCUUUUUGGUUGUGAUCGAGCAUGUAAUCUGGUGCUGGUGUGAUAUGGCGUGCACUAUGGAUCACUUUAUUUGUAUUUGAAGCUACCCUUUCUUGACGCAUAUACAUGAUAUCAUUGGAUGGAUGGUUGAUAACCCACAAGUAUAGGGGAUCGCAACAGUUUUUGAGGGUAAAGUAUUCAACCCAAAUUUAUUGAUUCGACACAAGGGGAACCAAAGAAUACUCUCAAGUAUUAGCAGCCGAGUUGUCAAUUCAACCACACCUAGAAACUUAAUAUCUGCAGCAAAGUAUUUAGUAGCAAAGUAAUAUGAUAGUAGUGGUAACGGUAGCAAAAGGUAACAGUAGUAAAAGUAGUGUUUUUGGUAUUUUGUAGUGAUGAUAGCAAUAGCAACAGGAAAGUAAAUAAGCGAAGAACAAUAUAUGGAAAGCUCGUAGGCAAUGGAUUGGUGAUGGAGAAUUAUGCCGGAUGCGGUUCAUCAUGUAACAGUCAUAACCUAGGGUGACACAGAACUAGCUCCAGUUCAUCAAUGUAAUGUAGGCAUGUAUUCCGAAUAUAGUCAUACAUGCUUAUGGAAAAGAACUUGCAUGACAUCUUUUGUCCUACCCUCCCGUGGCAGCGGGGUCCUUAUGGAAACUAAGGGAUGUUAAGGCCUCUUUUUAAUAGAGUACCAGAACAAAGCAUUAACACAUAGUGAAUACAUGAACUCCUCAAACUAUGGUCAUCACCGGUAAGUAUCUCGAUUAUUGUCACUUUGGGUUUAACGGAUCAUAACACAUAAUAGGUGACUAUAGACUUGCAAGAUAUGAUCAAGAACUCUCAUAUAUUGAUGAAAACAUAAUUGGUUCAGAUCUGAAAUCAUGGCACUCGGGCCCUAGUGAUAAGCAUUAAGCAUAGCAAAGUCAUAGCAACAUCAAUCUCAGAACAUAGUGGAUACUAGGGAUCAAACCCAAACAAAACUAACUCGAAUACAUGAUAGAUCCCAUCCAACCCAUCACCGUCUAGCAAGCCUACGAUGGAAUUACUCACGCACGGCGGUGAGCAUCAUGAAAUUGGUGAUGGAGGAUGGUUGAUGAUGACGAUGGCGACGGAUUCCCCUCUCCGGAGCCCCGAACGGACUCCAGAUCAGCCCUCCCGAGAGGUUUUAGGGCUUGGCGGUGGCUCCGUAUCGUAAAACGUGAUGAAUUUUUUGUUGGAAAUAUGCCCUAGAGGCAAUAAUAAAUUGGUUAUUAUUAUAUUUCCUUGUUCAUGAUAAUCGUUUAUUAUCCAUGCUAGAAUUGUAUUGAUAGGAAACUCAGAUACAUGUGUGGAUACAUAGACAACACCAUGUCCCUAGUAAGCCUCUAGUUGACUAGCUUGUUGAUCAAUAGAUGGUUACGGUUUCCUGACCAUGGACAUUGGAUGUCGUUGAUAACGGGAUCACAUCAUUAGGAGAAUGAUGUGAUGGACGAGACCCAAUCCUAAGCCUAGCACAAAGAUCGUGUAGUUCGUAUGCUAAAGCUUUUCUAAUGUCAAGUAUCAUUUCCUUAGACCAUGAGAUUGUGCAACUCCCGGAUAUCAGAGGAGUGCUUUGGGUGUGCCAAACAUCGCAACGUAACUGGGUGGCUAUAAAGGUACACUACAGGUAUCUCCAAAAGUGUCUAUUGGGUUGGCAUGAAUCGAGACUGGGAUUUGUCACUCCGUGUAAACGGAGAGGUAUCUCUGGGCCCACUCGGUAGGACAUCAUCAUAAUGUGCACAAUGUGACCAAGGAGUUGAUCACGGGAUGAUGUGUUACGUAACGAGUAAAGAGACUUGCCGAUAACAAGAUUGAACAAGGUAUCGGGAUACUGACGAUCGAAUCUCGGGCAAGUAUCGUACCGAUAGACAAAGGGAAUUGUAUAUGGCAUUGAUUGAAUCCUUGACAUCGUGGUUCAUCCGAUGAGAUCAUCAUGGAACAUGUGGGAGCCAACAUGGGUAUCCAGAUCCCGUUGUUGGUUAUUGGUCGGAGAGUUGUCUCGGCCAUGUCUGCAUGACUCCCGAACCCGUAGGGUCUACACACUUAAGGUUCGAUGACGCUAGGGUUAUAGGGAAUAGAUAUACGUGGUUACGGAAUGUUGUUCGAAGUCCCGGAUGAGAUCCCGGACGUCACGAGGAGUUCCGGAAUGGUCCAGGGGUAAAGAUUUAUAUAUGGGAAGUCCUGUUUUGGUCGCCGAAAAAGUUUCGGGUUUAUCGGUAAUGUACCGGGACCACCGGGAGGGUCCCGGUGGUCCACCAAGUGGGGCCAUCAGCCCCGGAGGGCUGCAUGGGCCAAGUGUGGGAGGGGAUCAGCCCCAGGUGGGCUGGUGCGCCCCCCCACCAAGGCCCAAGGCGCAAGGGAGAGUGGAAGGGGGCAAACCCUAGGCUUAGAUGGGCCUAAGGCCCACCUAGUGGUGCGCCCCCCUCUCUCCCCCCUUGGCCGCCCCCCUAGAUGGGAUCUAGGGCUGGCCGCCACCCCUAGGGGUGGAAACCUAGGUGGGGGCGCAGCCCCUCCCCUCGCCCUAUAUAUACUUGAGGUUUUGGGCUGCCAUAGACACGAUUCAAUCUCCUUCUUGGCGCAGCCCUACCCCUCUCCCUCCUCGUCUCUUGCGGUGCUUGGCGAAGCCCUGCUGGAGUACCACGCUCCUCCACCACCACCACACCGUCGUGCUGCUGCUGGAUGGAGUCUUCCCCAACCUCUCCUUCUCCCCUUGCUGAAUCAAGGCGUAGGAGACGUCACCGGGCUGUACGUGUGUUGAACACGGAGGUGCCGUCCGUUCGGCACUAGGAUCAUCGGUGAUUUGUAUCACGACGAGUACGACUUCAUCAACCCCAUUCACUUGAACGCUUCCGCUUAGCGAUCUACAAGGGUAUGUAGAUGCACUCUCCUCCCCCUCGUUGCUAGAUUACUCCAUAGAUUGAUCUUGGUGAUGCGUAGAAAAUUUUGAAUUUCUGCUACGUUCCCCAACAGUGGCAUCAUGAGCUAGGUCUAUGCGUAGUUUCUAUGCACGAGUAGAACACAAAGCAGUUGUGGGCGUCGAUUUUGUCAAUUUACUUGCCGUUACUAGUCUUAUCUUGAUUUGGUGGCAUCGUGGGAUGAAGCGGCCCGGACCGACCUUACACGUACUCUUACGUGAGACUGGUUCCACCGACUGACAUGCACUAGUUGCAUAAGGUGGCUAGCGGGUGUCUGUCUCUCCCACUUUAGUCAGAUCGGAUUCGAUGAAAAGGGUCCUCAUGAAGGGUAAAUAGAAAUUGGCAUAUCACGUUGUGGUUUUGGCGUAGGUAAGAAACGUUCUUGCUAGAAACCUAUAGCAGCCACGUAAAAACUUGCAACAACAAUUAGAGGACGUCUAACUUGUUUUUGCAGCAUAUGCCUUGUGAUGUGAUAUGGCCAAAAGGAUGUGAUGAAUGAUAUAUGUGAUGUAUGAGAUUGAUCAUGUUCUUGUAAUAGGAAUCACGACUUGCAUGUCGAUGAGUAUGACAACCGGCAGGAGCCAUAAGAGUUGUCUUUAUUUAUUUAUUACCUGCGUGUCAACAUAAACGUCAUGUAAUUACUUUACUUUAUUGCUAAAGCGUUAGCCAUAGUAGUAGAAGUAAUAGAUGACGAGACAACUUCAAGAAGACACAAUGAUGGAGAUCAUGAUGAUGGAGAUCAUGGUGUCAUGCCGGUGACAACGAUGAUCAUGGAGCCCCGAAGAUGGAGAUCGAGAGGAGCAAAAUGAUAUUGGCCAUAUCAUGUCACUAUUUGAUUGCAUGUGAUGUUUAUCAUGUUUUACAUCUUAUUUGCUUAGAACGACGGUAGCUUAAAUAAGAUGACCCCUCACUAAAAUUUUAAGAAAGGUGUUCCCCCUAACUGUGCACCGUUGCGAAGGUUCGUUGUUUUGAAGCACCACGUGAUGAUUGGGUGUGAUAGAUUCUAACGUUCAAAUACAACGGGUGUAAGCCAGAUUUACACAACAAAAACACUUAGGUUAACUUGGUGAGCCUAGCAUGCACAGACAUGGCCUCGGAACACGGAAGACCGAAAGGUCGAGCAUGAGUCGUAUAGAAGAUACGAUCAACAUGAAGAUGUUCACCGAUGUUGACUAGUCCGUCUCACGUGAUGAUCGGACACGGCCUAGUUGACUCGGAUCAUGUUUCACUUACAUGACUAGAGGGAUGUCUAUCUGAGUGGGAGUUCAUUAAAUGAACUCAAUUAUCAUGAACAUAGUCUAAAUUGUCUUUGCAAAUAUGUUGUAGAUGAAUAGCUCACGUUGUAGCUCCCUGUUUCAAUACGUUCCUAGAGAAAGACCAAGUUGAAAGAUAUUGUAAGCACUGAUGCGGAGUAGGUCCGUAGUCCAAGGAGUGUCCUCACUGCUACACAGAAGGCUUACGUCUUUGAUGCACCGCUCGAUGUGCAAACCCCUACAACAUCGUCUGUGUAUGUUGUGAACACCUGACAGACACAUUCUAAUGACUACCUGAUAGUUUAGUGCACCAUACUUUACGGCUUAGAAUCGGGAUUCCAAUGACGUUUUGAACGCCAUAGAACAUAUGAGAUGUUCCAAGAGCUGAAAUUGGGAUUUCAGGCUCAUGCCCGUGUUGAGAGGUGUGAGACCUCUGACAAGUUCUUUUGCCAACAAGAUGGAGGAGAAUAGCUCAGCUAGUGAGCAUGUGCUCAGAAUGUCUGGGUGCUACAAUCACUUAAAUCAAGUGGGAGUUAAACUUCCAGAUAAGAUAGUGAUUGAUUGAGUUCUCUAGCCACUAUCACUAAGCUACUAGAUAUUCGUGAUGAACUAUGACAUGCAAGGGAUGUAGUUGAUCCCGGAGCUGUUCGCGGUGCUUAAGACCGCAAAAGGUAGAAAUCAAGAAGGAGCAUCAAGUGUUGAUGGUUUAAUAAGACCACUGGUUUCAAGAAGGGCAAGGGCUAGAAGGGAAACUUCAUGGAUGGAAAACCAGUUACCGCUCCAGUGAAGGAACCCAAGGUUGAACCCAAACCCGAGACUAAAUGCUUCUAUUGUAAGGGGAACGGUCACUAGUAGCGGAAUUACCCCAAAUGCAUGGUAGAUAAUAAGGCUGGCAACUUCAAAGCUUAUACGUGUCAUUAAUGUGUACCUCACUAGUACUCCUGGUAGCACCUGGGUAUUGGAUACCGGUUCAGUUGCUAUUAUUGGUGACUUGAAGCAAAAGCUACGGACUAAACGGAGACUGGCUAAGGGCGAGGUGACGAUGUGUGUUGGAAGUGUUUCCAAAGUUGAUGAGAUCACCAUCGCACGCUCCAUCUGCCUUCGGGAUUAGUAUUGAUCCUAGAUAAAUGUUAUCAGGUGUCUACGUUGAGCGUGAAUAUGAUUAGAUCAUGUUCAUUGCAAUACGGUUAUUCAUUUAAGUUAGAGAAUACUGGUUAUUCUGUUUACAUGAAUAAUACCUUUCAUGGUUAUGCACCCUAUGUGAAUGGUUCAUUGAAUCUCGGUCGUGGUAAUACACAUGUUCACGCCAAAAGAUGUAGAGUUAAUAAUGAUAAUACCACUUUCUUGUGGCACUGCCGCUUAUGUCAUAUUGGCGUAGGAUGCAUGAAGAAACUCCAUAUUGAUGGAUGUUUGGAGUCACUUGAUUUUGAAUCGCUUGACACAUGCAAGCCAUGCCUCAUGGGCAAGAUGACUAAGACCCCGUUUUCAGGUACAAUGAAACGGGCAAGUGACUUGUUGGAAAUCAUACAUACUGAUGCAUGUGAUCCAAUCAGAAUUGAAGCGUGCGGUGGAUAUCGCUAUUUUCUCAUCUUCACUGAUGAUUUGGGUAGAUAUAGGUAUAUCUACUUAAUGAAGCACAAUUCUGAAAUGUUUGAAAAGUUCAAGUGAUUUCAGAGUGAAGUUAAGAAUCAUCAUAACAAGAAGAUAAAAUUCCUACGAUCUGAUCAAUGAGAAUAUCUGAGUUAUGAGUUUGGCAAUCACUUAAGACAUUGUGGAAUUGUUUCACAGUUGAAGCCACCUGGAACACCACAAAGUAAUGGUGUAUCCGGACGUCGUAAUCGAACCUUAUGAGAUAUGGUGCGAUCUAUGAUGUCUCUUACCGAUCUACCGUUUUCAUUUUGAGGUUAUGCGUUAGAGACAGCUGCAUUCACUUUAGAUAGGACACCAUCUAAGUCCGUUGAGACGAUGUCGUAUUAACAUUAGUUUGGCAAGAAACCAAAGUUGUCGUUUCUUAAUGUUUGGGGAUGCGAUGCUUAAGGCUUCAGCCGGAGAAGCUCGAACCCAAAGCGGACAAACACAUCUUCAUAGGAUACCCAAAGGUGACAGUAGGGUAUACCUUCUAUCUCAGAUCCGAGGGCAAAUUGUUUGUCGCUAAGAAUGGAUCCAUUCUCGAGAAGGAGUUUCUCUCGAAAGAAUUGAGUGGGAGGAAGAUAGAACUUGAUGAGGUUGUCGAACCUUUAUUUCAACCAGAGAAUGAUGCAACAUAGAAAGAUGUUUUCUGUGGCACCUAUGUCUGUUGAAUAGGAAGUUAAUGAUAGUGAUCAUGAAGCUUCAGAUCAAGUUGCUAUCGAACCUCGUAGGUCGACAAGGAUAUGUACUAGUCCUGAGUGGUACGGUAAUCCUGUCUUAGAUAUCAUGUUGUUAGACAACAAUGAACCUACGAGCUAUGGAGAAGCGAUGGUGGGCCUGUAUUCCGACAAAUGGUUAGAAGCCAUGAAAUCCGAGACUGGAUCCAUGUAUCAGAACAAAGAAUGGACUUUGGUGGACUUGCCCGAUGAUCGGCAAGCCAUUGAGAUAAGUAGAUCUUUAAGAAGAAGACGGAUGUGGGCGGUAAUGUUACCGUCUAUGAAGCUUGACUUGUGGGAAAGAGUCUUUUCACAAGUUCAAGGAGUUGACUACGAUGAGAAUUUCUCACCCGUAGCAAUGCUUAAGUCCGUCGGAAUCAUGUUAGCAUUAGCUGUGUUUUUCGAUUAUGAAAUCUGACAGAUGGAUGUCAAAACAAGUUUUCUUACCAGUUUUCGUAAGAAAAAGUUGUAUGUGAUACAAUAAAAGGUUUUGUCGAUCCUAAGGAUGCUAAAAGGUAUGCUGGCUCCAGUGAUCCUUCUAUGGACUAGAGCAAGCAUCUCGGAAUUGGAAUAUAUGUUUUGAUGGAGUGAUCAAAGCUUUUAGGUUUAUACAAUGUUUGCUAGAAAAUUGUAUUUACAAGAAAGUGAGUGGGAGCACUACAACAUUUCUGAUAAGUAUAUGUGGAUGACAUAUUGUUGAUCCGAAAUGAUGUAGAAUUUCUGGAAAGCAUAAACGGUUGUUUGAAGAGUGUUUUUCAAAGGAAGACCUGGAUAAAGCUGCUUACAUAUUGGGCAUCAAGAUCUAUAGAGAUGGAUCAAGACGCCUGAUGGUACUUUCAAAGAACGCACACCUUGACAUGUUUUUGAAGGAGUUCAAAAUAGAUCAGUCAAAGAAGGGGUUCUUAGCUGAGUUGUAAGGUGUGAAGUUGAGUAAGACUCAAAGCUUGACCACGGCAGAAGAAAGAGGAAUGACGAAGGUCGUCCCCUAUGCUCUUGUCAUAGGCUCUAUACGGUAUGCCAUGUUGAGUACCGCACCUGAUGUGUGCCUUGCCACAUGUCUGACAAGAGGGUACAAAGGUGAUCUAGGAGUAGAUCACCGGAUAGCGGUCAAAAUUAUCCUUAGAGGAAUAAGGAAAUGUUUCUCGGUUAUGGAGGUGAUAAAGAGUUCGACGUAAAGAGUUACGUCGAUGCAAGCUUAACACCUAUCCGGAUAGCACUGAGUAGAGAUACCGGAUACGUAUAAUGGAGCAACAAUUUGGAAUAGCUCCAAGUGGAACGUGGCAGCAGCAUCUACGAUAUAAAGUUUUGCGAAAUACAUAGGGAUCUAAAUAUGGCAAGACCCGUUGACUACAACCUCUCUCACAAGCAUAACAUGAUCAAAGCCAGAACUCUUUGAGUGUUUAUCACAUAGUGAUGUGAACUAGAUCAUUGAGUCUAGUAGACUCUUGGAUGUUGGUCACAUGGCGAUGUGACCUGUGAGUGUUAAUCACAUGGUGAUGUGAACUAGAUUAUUGACUCUAGUGCAAGUGGGAGACUAUUGGAAAUAUGCCCUAGAGGCAAUAAUAAAUUGGUUAUUAUUAUAUUUCCUUGUUCAUGAUAAUCGUUUAUUAUCCAUGCUAGAAUUGUAUUGAUAGGAAACUCAGAUACAUGUGUGGAUACAUAGACAACACCAUGUCCCUAGUAAGCCUCUAGUUGACUAGCUCGUUGAUCAAUAGAUGGUUACGGUUUCCUGACCAUGGACAUUGGAUGUCGUUGAUAACGGGAUCACAUCAUUAGGAGAACGAUGUGAUGGACGAGACCCAAUCCUAAGCCUAGCACAAAGAUCGUGUAGUUCGUAUGCUAAAGCUUUUCUAAUGUCAAGUAUCAUUUCCUUAGACCAUGAGAUUGUGCAACUCCCGGAUACCGGAGGAGUGCUUUGGGUGUGCCAAACGUCACAACGUAACUGGGUGGCUAUAAAGGUACACUACAGGUAUCUCCGAAAGUGUCUGUUGGGUUGGCACGAAUGGAGACUGGGAUUUGUCACUCCGUGUAAACGGAGAGGUAUCUCUGGGCCCACUCGGUAGGACAUCAUCAUAAUGUGCACAAUGUGACCAAGGAGUUGAUCACGGGAUGAUGUGUUACGUAACGAGUAAAGAGACUUGCCGAUAACGAGAUUGAACAAGGUAUCGGGAUACCGACGAUCGAAUCUCGGGCAAGUAUCGUACCGAUAGACAAAGGGAAUUGUAUACGGGAUUGAUUGAAUCCUUGACAUCGUGGUUCAUCCGAUGAGAUCAUCGUGGAACAUGUGGGAGCCAACAUGGGUAUCCAGAUCCCGCUGUUGGUUAUUGGCCAGAGAGUUGUCUCGCCCAUGUCUGCAUGACUCCCGAACCCGUAGGGUCUACCACUUAAGGUUCGAUGAUGCUAGGGUUAUAGGGAAUAGAUAUACGUGGUUACUGAAUGUUGUUCGGAGUCCCGGAUGAGAUCCCGGAUGUCACGAGGAGUUCUAGAAUGGUCCGGAGGUAAAGAUUUAUAUAUGGGAAGUCCUGUUUUGGUCGCCGGAAAAGUUUCGGGUUUAUCGGUAAUGUACCGGGACCACCGGGAGGGUCCCGGUGGUCCACCAAGUGGGGCCACCAGCCCCGGAGGGCUGCAUGGGCCAAGUGUGGGAGGGGACCAGCCCCAAGUGGGCUGGUGCGCCCCCCCACCAAGGCCCAAGGCGCAAGGGAGAGUGGAAGGGGGCAAAUCCUAGGCUCAGAUGGGCCUAAGGCCCACCUAGUGUUGCGCCCCCUCUCUCCCCCCUUGGCCGCCCCCCCUAGAUGGGAUCUAGGGCUGGCCGCCACCCCUAGGGGUGGAAACCUAGGUGGGGGCACAUCCCCUCCCCUCCCCCUAUAUAUACUUGAGGUUUUGGGCUGCCAUAGACACGAUUCAAUCUCCUUCUUGGCGCAGCCCUACCCCUCUCCCUCCUCGUCUCUUGCGGUGCUUGGCGAAGCCCUGCUGGAGUACCACGCUCCUCCACCACCACCACGCCGUCGUGCUGCUGCUGGACGGAGUCUUCCCCAACCUCUCCUUUUCCCCUUGCUGGAUCAAGGUGUAGGAGACGUCACCGGGCUGUACGUAUGUUGAACACGGAGGUGCCGUCCGUUGGGCACUAGGAUCAUCGGUGAUUUGGAUCACGACGAGUACGACUCCAUCAACCCCGUUCACUUGAACGCUUCCGCUUAGCGAUCUACAAGGGUAUGUAGAUGCACUCUCCUUCCCCUCGUUGCUAGAUUACUCCAUAGAUUGAUCUUGGUGAUGCGUAGAAAAUUUUGAAUUUCUGCUACGUUCCCCAACAUCUUUCUCUCUGAUUUUUUUCUCCCCGAAACACAAUAUAUAGAGUUGGAGUUGGAGUCGGAGCAGCUCCAGGGGGCCCACGAGGUAGGGGUGCGGCCCCCACCCUCGUGGACAGGUUGUGGGCCCCUGGCCUUCUUCUUUUGCAGGUAUUUUUUAUAUUUUCCAAAAAGUUGCUCCGUGAAGUUUCAGGUCAUUCUGAGAACGUUUGUUUCUGCACAUAAAUAACACCAUGGUAAUUCUGCUGAAAACAACGCCAGUCCGGGUUAGUUCCAUUCAAAUCAUGCAAGUUAGAGUCCAAAACAAGGGCAAAAGUGUUUAGAAAAGUAGAUACUACAGAGACGUAUCAACUCCCCCAAGCUUAAACCUUUGCUUGUCCUCAAGCAAUUCAGUUGACCAACUGAAAGUGAUAAAGAAAAACUUUUACAAACUCUGUUUGCUCUUGUUAUUGUAAAUAUGUAAAGCCAGCAUUCAAGUUUUUAGCAAAGAUUAUGACUAACCACAUUUGCAAUAAUGCUUAGGUCUCAAGUUUACUCAUAUCAAUAGCAUAAUCAACUAGCGAGCAAUAAUGAUAAAUCUUGGAUCAAAACAAUCAUAAUAUGAAAUAACAAGAUGGUAUCUCGCUAGCCCUUUUUGAGACCGCAAAACAUAAAUGUAGAGCACCUUUAAAGACCAAGGACUGACUAGACAUUGUAAUUCAUAGUAAAAGAGAUCCAGUCAAGUCAUACUCAAUGUAAACUAACAAUAGUGAAUGCAAAUGACAGCGGUGCUCUCCAACUGGUGCUUUUUAAUAAGAGGAUGAUGACUCAGCAUAAAAGUAAAUAGAUAGGCCCUUCGUAGAGGGAAGCAGAGAUUUGUAGAGGUGCUAGAGCUCAGGUUUGAAAUAGAGGUGAAUAAUAUUUUGAGCGGUGUACUUUCAUUGUCAACAUAACAACCAAGAGAUGGCAAUAUCUUCCAUGCUACACACAUUAUAGGUGGUUCCCAAACAGAAUGGUAAAGUUUAUACUCCCCCUUCCACCAAUAAGCAUCAAUCCAUGGCUUGCUCGAAACAACGAGUGCCUCCAACUAACAAGAGUCUGAGGGGGAGUUUUGUUUGCAAUUAUUUUGAUUUAGUUUGCGUAAAGCAUGGGACUGGGCAUCCCGGUGACCAGCCAUUUAUCUCGUGAGUGAGGAGCGGAGUCCACUCCUCUUGAGAAUAACCCUCCUAAAGCAUACAAAACAGGAUAUUUAUUUGAAGGUUUAGAGUUUGGCACAUACAAAUUUACUUGGAACUGCAGGUAGAUACCGUAUAUAGGAAGGUAUAGUGGACUCAUGUGGAAUAACUUCGGGGUUUAAGGGAUUGGAUGCACAAGCAGUAUUCCCACUUAGUACAGGUGAAGGCUAGCAAAAGACUGGGAAGCGACCAGCUAGAGAGCGACAACAGUCAUGAACAUGCAUUAAAAUUAAUCAACACCAAAUGCAAGCAUGAGUAGGAUAUAAUCCAUCAUGAACAUAAAUAUCGUGAAGGCUAUGUUGAUUUUGUUUCAACUAGAUGCGUGAACAUGCGCCAAGUCAAGUCACUUAAAUCAUUCAGAGGAGGAUACCACCCUAUCAUACCACAUCAUAACCAUUUCAAUAGCAUGUUGGCACACAAGGUAAACCAUUAUAACUCAUAGCUAAUCAAGCAUGGCACAAGAACUAUGAUCUCUAGUUGUCAUUGCAAACAUGUUUAUUCAUAAUAGGCCGAAUCAGGAAUGAUCAACUAAUCAUAUUUACAAAAACAAAAGAGGUCGAGUUCAUACCAACUUUUCUCAUCUCAGUCAGUCCAUCAUAUAUCAUCAUAAUUGCCUUUCACUUGCAUGACCGAAUAGUGUGAAUAAUAAUAAUAGUGCACGUGCAUUGGACUAAGCUGGAAUCUGUAAGCAUUCAAUAAACAGGAGAAGACAAGGCAAUAUGCGCUCUUUUGUCAGAUCAACAAUUAUGCAUAUAAGAGCCACUUCAACAAUUUAAUCAUGGUCUUCUCCUAUCGACCCCCAAAGAAAAGAAAAGAAAUAAAACUAUUUACACGGGAAAGCUCCCAACAAGCAAAAGAAGAACAUGAAAUCUUUUUGGGUUUUCUUUUUAAUUACUACUACAAGCAUGGAAAGUAAACUAAUUAAAAGCUACAACUAAUAAAUUUUUUUGGUUUUUCUCAAGGUUUAUUAAACACACUAGAAGAAAGCAUAAAAAGGAAAUAAACUAGCGUGGAUGAUACAAUGAAAAAGUAUGAGCACCGACAUCUAGCCAUGAGUGUGUGAACAUAAAUGUAAUGUCGAUGGGAAAUAUGUACUCCCCCAAGCUUAGGCUUUUGGCCUAAGUUGGUCUAUGGCCACGGCUGGCCUGGCGGAUAUCCAUAAUAAUAGUCGGGGUCGUACUGAGAAGAAGAAGACUCCGAUUGCCACUGGCUGGCAAUCAUCUCCGGAUCCCACUGGUAAUUAGAUUGUCGUGAAGGAUCAACUUGUGGUUCGGGCUCUGGCUCCAUGGCUGGUGCAGGGUUCCGGUAGGCGUGAAUAGCCUCUAACGGAACAAGGUACUGGCCUACAGAUAAAUCAAACAAAGAAGGAGCAGGCAGGGUAAUAGUCUCAGGAUGAUGUUUAUCAAAGAACAAUUUAUAUUUAAGCUCUCCUUCCCUAUUCUUAACAAUAAAAUCAUGUGCCACCAUAGUUCUAUAAUCUAAAUAAACACAAGGCAGCACCUUUUCUUCCUUCUCAUAAUGCCUAAUAGGUAUGUUAAAAUGUGCAGCUAGGCGUGAAGCAUAGAUGCCUCCAAAGAUGGGGCCCUUGGUACGGUUCAGACUUAACCGUUUAGCAAUAAUGCCGCCCAUACUAACAGAGUUAUCACCGUAUAAACCGUGGAGCAAAAUAAUAAUAUCAGGGACACUAAGGUUUCCACAGUUUCCGCGACCAAUUAAACAACGACUAGUAAAUAAUGCAAAAUAGCGUAAAACAGGAAAAUGUAUGCUAGUGAUUCGUGCAUCGGAAACCUUCCUUGUUUCCCCUAUAGUGAUAGUAUCAAUAAACCCAUCCACAUCCUCGUGAUGUGGUUCCUCUGUCUUGCCCUCGAAAGGGACUAAACAAACCCGACAAAAAUCAUAAAGUGACAUCUCAUUAUGCUCAUCAUAUAAAUGAAACUCCACCAUAGGUGGUGAGCUCCUAGAAUGGAAAUGAAAGUUUUACACAAAGAUAUUUGUGAGUAAGAGAUACGGAUCGCGUUGGUCGUGGAGGAAAGUGGUGAGGCCUGCAUUCUUAGCCAAUUCAUGAAAAUCUUCAUAAAUCCGGCUGCUCUCAAGAAAUCAUCAGAAGGCCAUUCACACGACCGAACCUCCGCGGUGCGAGGCGGAUUAUACUUAGGCUUCGGUGCCUUUUCCUUCGAGCUUCGGCUCGAUGAGCCCCUCAAAAGUCUCUUCAUCAUUUUCUAAAAAAUUCUGAAAUUUUUAGUAACUUCGAAAUAAAAGUAAACCAAACUCAAUAAUAUUGAUAGCAACUACUCCUACAAGUGCCUAGGGCCUAUAUCAUGCAUCAAAACUACUUUUGACCAUAUAAAUUUGACAUGCAAGCUCAAGAACAGGGUCACCUAAGCAGCAAAAAUUUGCAAUGAAUAAAGCACAGAACAAAAACUAAUUGGACCAAUGGAGGAGUCACAUACCAAGGAACAAUCUCCCCAAGCAGUUUUGUGAGAGGUGCUCUGAGCAAGGAGAUCGAAAAUGGCAGCAAAAUGAGCUUGGACUUGGGUUUGAGCUGGUUAUUCGUGUUUGGGUGAGGAAGAAGGAGUGUGUGGGUGAAAGGAUAGGGCCACCAUGGGCCCACGAGGUAGGGGGGCGCCCAGGGGGGUAGGGCGCGCCCUCCACCCUCGUGGGCAGGUGGUUGACCCCCUACUAUGUUCUCAGUGCCAAAUAUUCUCAAAUAUUCCAGAAAAAAAUCAUAUUUAAAUUUCAGGGUAUUUGGAGAACUUUUAUUUUCGGGGUAUUUUUAUAUUGCACGGAUAAUCAGAUAACAUACAGAAAAAUACUAAUUUUAUUUUAUUUAAUAUAAAUAACAGAAAGUAAAAGGAGGGUACAACAGGUUGUGCCUUCUACUUUCAUCCAUCUCAUGAUCAUCAAAAGGAAUCCACUAACAAGGUUGAUCAAGUCUUGUUAACGAACUCAUUCCGAAUAAUAUGGAACCGGAGAAAUUUCGAAUAACACUAUGUUACCUCAACGGGGAUAUGCACAUCACCAAUAAUAAGAAUAUCGUAUUUCUUCUUGACAGUAGGAAGAGGAAAUUCAAAACCUCCAAAUAUAAUCGAUGUAAUUUUUCCAAUAGACUUGAUACUAUGAACUUGAGGUUGUUUCCUCGGAAAGUGUACCGUAUGCUCAUUACCAUUAACAUGAAAAGUGACAUUGCCUUUAGUGCAAUCAAUAACAGCCCCUUUACUACCUGUGUCGGGUUAUCAAGACCAUGAGUUUCUUCAAUAGGUAAAGGAUUAAAAUCAUAUGUUUCUUUAACAGGCGGUAAAUUAAGACCAUGUAUUUCUCCAAUAGGAGGUAAAUUCUUAACAUCUUCAGCUUUAAUACCUUUUUCUUUCAUAGAUUUCUUUGCCUCUUGCAUAUCUUCAGGACUGAGAAAUAGAAUACCCCUCUUCUUCGGAGUUGGUUUAGGAAUAGGCUCAGGAAUUAGCUCCGGAGGUGUCCAAUUAUUUUCAUUUGUCAACAUAUUAUUCAAUAGAAUGUCAGCUUCAUCUAGUUCUUUCCCUGAAAACAGAACCAGCACAACUAUCCAGGUAAUCUCUGGAGGCAUCGGUUAGUCCAUUAUAAAAGAUAUCAAGUAUUUCAUUUUUCUUAAGAGGAUGAUCAGGCAAAGCAUUAAGUAAUUGGAGAAGCCUCCCCCAAGCUUGUGGGAGACUCUCUUCUUCAAUUUGCACAAAAUUAUAUAUAUCCCUUAAAGCAGCUUGUUUCUUAUGAGCAGGGAAAUAUUUAGCAGAGAAGUAAUAAAUCAUAUCCUGGGGACUACACACACAACCAGGAUCAAGAGAAUUAAACCAUAUCUUAGCAUCACCCUUUAAUGAGAACGGAAAUAUUUUAAGGAUAUAAAAGUAACGAGUUCUCUCAUCAGUAGUGAACAUGGUGGCUAUAUCAUUUAAUGUGCCACAACAGUUUCAGAUUCAUAGCCAUGAAAAGGAUCAGAUUCAACCAAAGUAAUUAUAUCAGGAUCAACAGAGAAUUCAUAAUCCUUAUCAGUAACACAGAUAGGUGAAGUAGCAAAAGCAGGGUCAGGUUUCAUCCUAGCAUUUAGAGAUUGCUUAUUCCAUUUAGCUAAUAACCUCUUAAGUUCGUGUCUAUCUUUGCAAGCUAAAAUAGCUAAAGAAGCUUCUUUAUCAAAAACAUAACCCUCUGGAAUAACAGGCAAGUCUUCAUCAUCAAUUUCAUCAGUAUUAUCAGAUUCAACAUUUUCAAUCUCUCUAGCCCUAGCAAGUUGUUCAUCAAGAAAUUCACCAAGUGGCACAGUAGUAUCAAGCAUAGAAGUAGUUUCAUGAUAAGUAUCAUGUAUAGCAGAAGUGGCAUCAUCAAUAACAUGCGACAUAUCAGAAUGAAUAGCAGAAGCAGGUUUAGGUGUCGCAAGCUUACUCAAAAAACAAGGUGAAUCAAGUGCAAAGCUAGAUGGCAGUUCCUUACCUCCCCUCGUAGUUGAGGGAUAAAUCUUGGUUCUUGGAUCUUUCAAGUUCUUCAUAAUGAUAAGCAGAUAUAAAUCCCAAGUGACUCAAAGAAUAGAGCUAUGCUCCCCGGCAAUGGCGCCAGAAAAUAGUCUUGAUAACCCACAAGUAUAGGGGAUCACAACAGUUUUCGAGGGUAAAGUAUUCAACCCAAAUUUAUUGAUUCGACACAAGGGGAGCCAAAGAAUACUCUCAACUAUUAGCAGCUGAGUUGCCAAUUCAACCACACCUGGAAACUUAAUAUCUGCAGCAAAGUAUUUAGUAGAAAAGUAAUAUGAUAGUAGUGGUAACGGUAGCAAAAGGUAACGGUAGCAAAAGGUAACGGUAGUAAAAGUAGUGUUUUUGGUAUUUUGUAGUGAUGAUAGCAAUAGCAACGGGAAAGUAAAUAAGCGAAGAACAAUAUAUGGAAAGCUCGUAGGCAAUGGAUCGGUGAUGGAGAAUUAUGCCGGAUGCGGUUCAUCAUGUAACAGUCAUAACCUAGGGUGACACAGAACUAGCUCCAGUUCAUAAAUGUAAUGUAGGCAUGUAUUUCGUAUAUAGUCAUACGUGCUUAUGGAAAAGAACUUGCAUGACAUCUUUUGUCCUACCCUCCCGUGGCAGCGGGGUCCUUAUGGAAACUAAGGGAUAUUAAGGCCUCCUUUUAAUAGAGUACCGAAACAAAGCAUUAACACAUAGUGAAUACAUGAACUCCUCAAACUACGGUCAUCACCGGUAAGUAUCCUGAUUAUUGUCACUUCGGGGUUAACGGAUCAUAACACAUAAUAGGUGACUAUAGACUUGCAAGAUAGGAUCAAGAACUCUCAUCUAUUGAUGAAAACAUAAUAGGUUCAGAUCUGAAAUCACGGCACUCGGGCCCUAGUGACAAGCCUUAAGCAUAGCAAAGUCAUAGCAACAUCAAUCUCAAAACAUAGUGGAUACUAGGGAUCAAACCCUAACAAAACUAACUCGAUUACAUGAUAGAUCCCAUCCAACCCAUCAUCGUCCAGCAAGCCUAUGAUGGAAUUACUCACGCACGGCGGUGAGCAUCAUGAAAUUGGUGAUGGGGGAUGGUUGAUGAUGACGACGGCGACGGAUUCCCCUCUCCGGAGCCCCGAACGGACUCUAGAUAAGCCCUCCCGAGAGGUUUUAGGGCUUGGCGGCGGCUCCGUAUCGUAAAACGUGAUGAAUUCUUCUCUCUGAUUUUUUUGUCCCCAAAACACAAUAUAUAGAGUUGGAGUUGGAGUCGGAGGAGCUCCAGGGGGCCGGCGCCCCCACCCUCGUGGACAAGUGGUGGGCCCCCUGGCCUUCAUCUUUUGCAGGUAUUUUUUAUAUUUUCCAAAAAGUUGCUCCGUUAAGUUUCAGGUCAUUUCGAGAACGUUUGUUUCUACACAUAAAUAACACUAUGGUAAUUCUGCUGAAAACAGCGUCAGUCCGGGUUAGUUCCAUUCAAAUCAUGCAAGUUAGAGUCCGAAACAAGGGCAAAAGUGUUUGGAAAAGUAGAUACGACGGAGACGUAUCAAUGGUGAGGGAGUCCUGGAUUAAGGUGUCCUCGGGCCGCCGGACUAUUGCUUAUGGGCCGGAUUGAUGGGUUACUGUGAAGCCAAACUGGGUAGUGGACCCGUGACCGGAUAGUAAUAAAAAUUCUAUGCUUGUAGAUCAUGAGAAGAAUGCUUUAUGUGAUAUUUAUAUUGUUGAAUUCAUUCAUGAUGCUCUACUGAAAAUUAUUAUGAGGGAGGAAUAUAUGCUUGUAGGAAUUGCAAUAAUACCAAGUUUCCUCUCUAUGUGCUUAAAGUUUUGAAGUUAUGCUUGUUUUGCUUUCCUAUGCUAGUUGAUUUUUGUUCCCAUAAAUUGUUUGCUCACAAAAUCCCUAUGCAUAAGAAGUGGGUUAGACUUAAAUGUGCUAGUCAUAUUCUUCAUAAUGCUCUCUUUAUGUUUCAAUUCUUAUCUUUUAUGUGAGCAUCAUUGAAAUCAUCAUGCCUAGCUAGGGGCGCUAAACGAUAGCACUUGUUGGGAGGCAACCCAAUUUUAUUUUAGUUCUUUACUUUUUGUUCCUGUUUAGUAAUAAAUAAUUUAUCUAGCCUCUGUUAUGAUUGUGUUUUUUAUGUUUUAAUUAGUGUUUUUGCCAAGUAAAGCCUUUAAGAUCUUGUUGGGCAAUAGUUGUUUGAUCUUGCUGUAAAAAACAGAAAGUUUGCGCUCACGAAAAUAAUUAUCAUUUUUUACCAGACAGCGAUAAAAUACCCAUUCAAAUUCCGGUAGAUCAAUAUAAAUUUUUUCCUAGUCGUCCUAAUUUUUCAAAAAAAAUUGUAGUUACAAAAGUAUUUGAAACCUCCAGAUUGCUACACACUGUUCGGUUUUUGACAGAUUCUGUUUUCAUUGUGUUGUUUGCUUAUUUUGAUGAAUCUAUGAGUUGUAUCGGAGGGUAUGAACCAUAGAGAAGUUGGAAUACAGUAGAUAUUACACCAAUACAAAUAAAGAAUGAGUUCACAACAGUACCUAAGUGGUGAUUUAUCUUCUUAUACUAACGGAGCUUACGAGUUUUCUAUUGAGUUUUGUGUUGUGAAGUUUUCAAGUUUUGGGUAAAUAUUCGAUGGACUAUGGAAUAAGGAGUGGAAAGAGCCUAAGCUUGGGGAUGCCCAAGGCACCCCAAGGUAAUAUUCAAGGACAACCAAGAACCUAAGCUUGGGGAUGCCCUGGAUGGCAUCCCCUCUUUCGUCUUCGUUCAUCGGUAACUUUACUUGGAGCUAUAUUUUUAUUCACCACAUGAUAUGUUUUUUGCUUGGAGCGUCAUUUUAUUUUCUUUUUUUUGCUUGCUGUUUGAAUAAAGUACUUAAGAUCUGAAAUUUUAUUUAUGAGAAGGAGUCUUCACAUAGUUACAUAAUUAUUCAACUACUCAUUGAUCUUCACUUAUAUCUUUCGGAGUAGUUUGUCGUUUGCUCUAGUGCUUCACUUAUAUCUUUUUAGAGCACGGCGGUGAUUUUAUUUUGAAGAAAUAGAUGAACUCUCAUGCUUCACUUGUACUAUUUUGAUUUUCUUUUAGAACAACAUGGUAAUUUGCCUUGGAUAUGAAAUUAGUCCUAAUAUGAUAGGCAUCCAAGAUGGGUAUGAUAAAAACUUUCAUAUAAAGUGCAUUGAAUACUAUGAGAAGUUUGAUACUUGAUGAUUGUUUUGAGAUAUGAAGAUGGUGAUAUUAGAGUCAUUCUAGUUAAGUAGUUGUGAAUUUGAGAGAUACUUGUGUUAAAGUUUGUGAUUCCCGUAGCAUGCACAUAUGUGAACCGUUAUGUGAUGAAGUCGGAGCAUGAUUUUUUUAUUGUCUUCCUUAUGAGUGGCGGUCGGGGACAAGCGAUGGUCUUUUCCUACCAAUCUAUCCCCCUAGGAGCAUGCGCGUAGUACUUCAUUUCAAUAACUAAUAGAUUUUUGCAAUAAGUAUGUGAGUUCUUUAUGACUAAUGUUGAGUCCAUGGAUUAUACGCACUCUCACCCUUCCACCAUUGCUAGCCCCUCUUGUGCCGCGCCAUAAUAGCCAACAUUACCUUCCUUAAAACAGCCACCAUACCUACCUAUUAUGGCAUUUCCAUAGCCAUUCCGAGAUAUAUUUCCAUGCAACUUUCCAUCGUCCCGUUUAUUAUGACACGCUUCAUCAUUGUCAUAUUGCUUUGCAUGAUCAUGUAGUUGACGUUGUAUUUGUGGCAAAGCCACCUUCAUAAUUCUUUCAUACAUGUCACUCUUGAUUCAUUGCACAUCCCGGUACACCACCGGAGGCAUUCAUAUAGAGUCAUAUUUUGUUGUAAGUAUUGAGUUGUAAUUCUUGAGUUGUAUGUAAAUAGGAGUGUGAUGAUCAUCAUCAUUUUAGCAUUGUCCCAGUGAGGAAAGGAUAACGGAGACUAUGGUUCCCCCACAACAGGAUGAGACUCCUGACGAAAAAAUAAAAAUAAAAAAGAGGCCAAAAAAAGAGAGGACCCCAAAAAACAAAAAAAAAACAAAAAACA
rnacentral:lncRNA from 1 species